rnacentral:lncRNA from 1 species
UACCACCGAAGUUCCAGAAGGUCCAAGCAUGCCAAAUGGAAUCCAUACAAUGUACUCCGGCCAGCAUUUUGGAGCUGAACACAAACCAAGCAGACACGCAAACUGCAGCGCAAAAACCGAGAUUUGCACAACGCCCCUAAAUUCCAUGAUAAGACGAACAAGAUAAGUGCCACAACCAAAAGAAACCAGGUAGUAAUUCCGAUGCUGCUCCCCCAAGACUACACCGCUACAAGAUAGAUAACCCGACCAACUACCCAACAGGCAACAGUAUCCUUAAAAAACAUAGCACAAAAUACAACCACGCGAGUCUGUCUGGCAUUCCAAUCCACUUGAAUUUUAAGCUUAUUUCGUGGGAGGGAAGACCCCUGUCCCGCCGCCACCUCACUUGGCCAUCAUGACCUUGACGAACUCCUCGUAGUUGAUCUGGCCGUCGCCGUCCACGUCCGCCUCCCGGAUCAUCUCGUCCACCUCCUCGUCCGUCAGCUUCUCCCCGAGGUUGGUCAUCACGUGGCGCAGCUCCGCCGCCGAGAUGAAGCCGUUCUGGUCCUUGUCGAACACGCGGAACGCCUCCUUGAGCUCCUCCUCCGAGUCCGUGUCCUUCAUCUUCCUCGCCAUCAGGUUCAGGAACUCGGGGAAGUCGAUGGUGCCGUUGCCGUCCGCGUCAACCUCGUUGAUCAUGUCCUGCAGCUCCGCCUCCGUGGGGUUCUGCCCGAGGGACCGCAUCACGGUUCCAAGCUCCUUGGUGGUGAUGCAACCUGCACAAAAUUCAGCAAGCAUUCGUUAUCUAGCGCUACGAAAUAAAAUAAGAGCAAGUUUACUAGGGAUUUAAGAUUGGUCUGUUCGCCGCAUAUAAAAUACCCAAUGUGUUCUUGUUGUCCUAACAACACAUGAUAUGUCAUAAUACCUCCAAUCAGCAUGUUGGCCACUUACACGCACCUAUAUAUUGUUACUAUAAGGAGCUGCAAGUUGGAACAGCUGGGAAUCGUAAACAAACAUGGCUUUAAACAAGCACUGUAUUGCAGGAUAAGCAGUACGGAUUAAAUAUUAUAGGCCGGCUGGGUAACAUGAAGGGAACAAUAAGAUAGGUUAACUUGCCAGACGCUUUCCUAUAGUGUCGCUGACGUUCAUUUCAACAUACUGAAUUCUAGAAAUCAAUUUAUGAAUCAUGCAUCAGCUGAAGAAAUGAUGGACCGCCAGGCAGAAGCCUUAAGAAAGCAGUGCUUAGGUUUAGCAUCAACUUGGAUUGCAUCCUAUCAAGUAAAUAAAAUGUAGUUCUUGCUGCCCAUUUAACAUAUGAAAUCAAAAGUCAACCUUACAAUUCUACAAGUCAUCAUGUGUACAAUUAGAUAUGACACAGAUCACAGACUAGACCAACUUGCAUCUAAAGCCGUGCUGAAACAUAGUCCUUCAAUGUAGCACAAGCAAGGAAAUAACAUAAAUGAUGCAGAAAUGAGCUAUGACACUACUAGAAAAGAGGAAUCUACAAAUCAAGUGUUGGUCUUAGACUACACAGUUAAGACUAGAUCUCCAACUUCCAGGCUACCAGAAGCUAGAUCAUGCUGCUACUGUCACCAAAAAGUCUCUUCAGUGUCGCGUUAUAAAAGGAGAGCUAAACAGGAUGAGAAAUCCUGACUAAAUCCUUGGCAUCAUCUACUACGGUACUCCAAUUCACCAUCUAGUCCACUCGUUGCUGCGUUCCACACUAUAAUUGUAACAAAACAGAUGCUCAUUGGCCUAGAUAAGUUUACAUCAGUGUAUGACAACAACCUGAUUCUCAUCUCUGUCACUAGAAAUUCCGAAACACUCUACAGCUCUAAACCCUAGCUCCUAAAUGCAACCAGUCGCUGCUGCCCCCGAAUUGUUCCUCCCACGGGAGCACCCCCAAGUCCUACAGCCACAAAUCGGAACACAGUAACAAGACAACCCGCCCGCACUCGGCCACAGAACAAACAACUGGCCCGAGCAAACGACCCCGUCCAUCAGAUGCAAGCAUCCAUCCCGCGCAGGCGCACGCCCAGAGCAACACGAAAGGCCUAAAGAGACCACGCAGCCCAGGCAUCACCGACCGGAUCUAGAGACAAAACCCAAUUCGGCCGGAUCGAGGUCGGGCGGCGCCCGAGCCCGAUCNNNNNNNNNNNNNNNNNNNNNNNNNNNNNNNNNNNNNNNNNNNNNNNNNNNNNNNNNNNNNNNNNNNNNNNNNNNNNNNNNNNNNNNNNNNNNNNNNNNNNNNNNNNNNNNNNNNNNNNNNNNNNNNNNNNNNNNNNNNNNNNNNNNNNNNNNNNNNNNNNNNNNNNNNNNNNNNNNNNNNNNNNNNNNNNNNNNNNNNNNNNNNNNNNNNNNNNNNNNNNNNNNNNNNNNNNNNNNNNNNNNNNNNNNNNNNNNNNNNNNNNNNNNNNNNNNNNNNNNNNNNNNNNNNNNNNNNNNNNNNNNNNNNNNNNNUGAAGGCCUCCUUGAACUCGGCGAUCUGCUCGUCGGUGAGCUGGUCCGCCAUGGGGGAGGCUUCGAGAAGGUGCGCACGGGAGACACGGGGGCGGCUGCGCGAAGGGGAAUAAUAAACGGGGCGCGGUGGGUGGCGUUGGCGAUGGUGCCCUGUCCGUGGGCUGGGUUUUAUAGACCGCUAGCGAUUAACGAGGGGGGAAGGUUUGCUCGAACCGCCGGUUUUGUAUCCGGUUCCACUUUCCUUUUCCCUUUCUCUUUUUCCUUCCUUGGAUCCUUGGCAAUCUAGGGUUCCAUUCAUACUCGAUUGUGCAGCAAUGGUUUCCAUGUGUUAUUCUUGUGUGGAUUUAGGAUUCUAUACUUUAGACUCUAUUGAGUUUUGAGGUGUCUUUUGCUAGCGGCACAUCGAUGCGGAUUAAUAAAGACUUAGUCAUGAGAGAUAAGAGCAGCGGCCGCUACGGUGAACAAUUGAUAUACUCCCUCUGUUUCUUUAUAUGAGUUGUAUUUAUUUUUGAUAAAAUUUCAGAAUGUAAGAUGCAUUUUUCCUAAUUCCUCGUGAUUCCUCUGUUAGCACUCCGUAAAAAAGAAAAGUAUCUCUCUCCUGAUUGUAUGUAUCUCUCCUUAUAGCAAAAUAAGGAAAUUAUCUCUCUAUCGAUUGCACGUAUCUCUUACUUUUCUGGAGUAACUGAUUUACUUGCUUCCAACCAAAAAAUUUGUCAAGGGUAAUUUCAUCAUAACAUGUCUAUAAUUAUGUGCAGUGGUCACCGUGCCAAAAAAAAUACACCUUACAUAAAGGAACGGAGGGCGUACCCCUUCGCUCCUGCCCUCUUUCGGACUCUAUUUUAAGGUUUUUUGCCUCUCAUCGGCGCCACCGGCGGUUCGCCUCGUCGAUCUCCUAUGGCCCUUGGACCAUGGAGGCGCGGUGGAUCCCGGCCCUUGCAGACGGGAUGGCUACGUUUGUAUGUGCUUUUCAAAGUUUGUUAGGGUUUUGUGUCAUGCUCAAGAAGACGAGACGGCGACGGCUUCUUGAAGAUGGAAUGAGAUUCUUCCCACCUAGCCUCGCCCUAGUGAUGCUUCAAACGUCGUCGGAAAACAUGUGGAGGGGUGUCUCCGACAGAUCUCGUGGGCCCCGGUCGGUGUUUGUCUUCGGGAGAUCAGCCUGGAUCCGUUCUUUCUCUAUAUCGGUGUAUCUGCAGGUUGGAUCCUUUCGAUCUAUUAUGGUGUGCUGAUCCUAUGAGGUCUUAGCACGACGACUUUUCGACUGUCUACUACAACAAUGUUUGUCCGACUCCAACGAGAAAGGGGCGAUGACGGCGGUGUGUCUUCAGCUCGCUCAGUGCUUGUAGUCCUCGCUAGGUGGUCUACGGACCUAGAUGUAUGAGGAUGGGUUUGAAAUUGUGUGGCUCGUUAGAUACGAGUCUGCUCCCGCCUAGUCUAGGAUCAGUUUCCCUUUUCAUUCUACAGAUUUUGCCGGUCCCUUUUCUUCCUUUUUCUCUUGCGGGGAGACUGACAUAAAAAAUCAACUCAUUGCGGUCCGUUGGUUUUUUCCUCCCCAAAGUCACAACAAAGUCGCCGUACUAAAUGGGACGAUGUGCUUGGGUAUUUAUUAAUCUCAGAAACCUUGCGAGGAGGGAAGAGGCGGACGAGUCAAGGCGAUGGAGGUAGCAAGCCGGACCAGGUCACCGCGCCGUCACCGUCGGAUCAGACAUCAGUCCGUCGCGCACAGGAGCCGGUCCAAGGCCAAGUUCAGGUCAAGACUAACCUCAAACACGUCCUCGUGUUAGAAGGGAGAGAGAGGGAUUGUUGCGGAAUAUGAUGGUUGUAUUAUUAAGCCUCGAGGGCGAGUAUAUAUUGAGUACAAGACUUGGAGGGCAAGACGCCUCUCCUAGAGAUAAGGUAGGAAUCCUAAACUACAUGUAACCCAAAUAUAUCUCUAACAUCCCCCCGCAGUCGUAGCGGUAGCGUUGCGAACAACAGGAGCGUCGCGGACGGUCAGACUGGAGAGAGUAGCAGCCGAUGGGCUGACAUCCCCCCGUAGUCCUAGCGGGAGCGUCGUGGACGGUGUCGCGUCGCGGACGCAUUGACUGUAGAGGAAGCCGACGAGUUGCUCAAGCGGAUGAUAGCCCUUUGUGCCGAUGUCGAUGUAGCCGAGAGCGUAGGAUGGUGUAGCCGUGGUUGAGGUAGCCGUGCGAAGAAUGCCGUGGUCGAUGUCGAUGUCGAGGUGGCCGGUGUCGAGGAAGUCGCUGUGGAGCCGCAGGCGCAAGGGGGCGCCGAGUUAGCAUGGGCGCAAGGGUGUCGAAGUAGUGGUGCGCCGGGAAGAAGAUGUUGUUGACGACGCGUCGCGACGGGUUUGCCAAGCCCGGGGACACAUCGUGGACGAAGGCACGCACCAGUGUUGCCAGCACCGGGCAUGCGUAGACGGACGAAGGCGAAGUUGACGAAGCGCCGACCAGGCUUGCCAGGCCCGGGGACACGUCGUGGAUGAAGGCACGCAUCGGUGUUGCCAGCGCCGGGCAUGCGUAGACGAGGGACCUGCACGAGCUGUACGCCAUGUCGGAGAAGUCAGAGGGGCCAGCAGAGAAGAACUCGACGACAAUUGCGGCGUCUAUCGGCGCAGGGCCGAUGUCACCAACGGUGGUCGGGGUAGAUGACGGCGACGCUGGCGACGGGCUAGUGCUUGGACGAAGACGAAGGGGGUGGACGGGCGGCGGCGGCUACGAAGGUAGCGGCGGCGGCGGCCAAAGAAGAGCGACCGCGGCGGCCUGGCGGCGGCGGCGGCGGCUAGGUUAGGAGUGCGGCGGCGGUGCUCGAAGUAGGCGAAGAACCCUGACAGCGUGACGAAGACCGGCGCGGACGGUGGCGUUCCCGCGCCAAGGAAGACGGCGCGGCGCAUACCACGGGAAGUCGAUGCGCGGGGACGGCGAAGUGGACCACAGGCGCGGCGCUACGGUCCGAAGGAGCGACGCAGCGGCGGCGGGCAGGUCGGGCGACGGCGGUAAGACCUCGGGGCGGCGGCUGAGACCGCGGGCCGCGGCGCGACAGCCCAAGGGGCGGUGUGGCGGAGGAGUGCAGGUCGGUGCAACCGCAGGGACGGCCUCGAGACGGCUGCGUGGACCGCGUGCCACGCUCGCUACGGCCCGACGGGGCGACGCAGCGGCGGCGCGAGGGUCGGUGCGGCCACGGGGACGACCAGGAGCGGACGUCCUCGGGGCGGCGAUGGACCGCGAGUCGCGGCACUACGGCCCGAAGGGGCGGCGCAGCGGUGACGCGGGUCGGUGCAGUCGGGAGAAGAACCACGGGGCGGCGGCACUGCGGCCCUACGGGGCGACGCAGCGGCAGCCCGAUGCUCGAUCGGUGAAGAGGCGCGCAUGCUCGAUGACAAUCUUUAUGAAAAUCCCGUGGAGGCGUGCGCAGAACGAUUGAUCUGAUCGACCGCGCAGCACAGAUGGAAUGAAUCGCGGUCGCUUAGAUGAUCAGUCCAAACGCCCAUGAGGUUGGAGUAGUUGCUCGCCGUGCGUUGCCGUCAGAUGUAACAGGAGCCGGUGAUUGGUGCAGCGUGGGCACGCGCCGUGCAGGAUGACGCGCACGAGUCUGGGCCAGGAGCCCAAGCACUGGCAUGACCGGCCAACAACACGGAUGCAUGCCUCUUUCUGGGACGUGGGAAGACCCACGCAAUACCCACGUGAAGGCCUAGGCCCCUGUAUCCAAUGCGUGCGUGGGAGCACACGGCGCAGAUCAGCAGCCAGUGCUCGGGACGAGCGUGAUGCAGAGUAUGUCGAAGACGGGGUUGACGGCGGAUUCCAGAUCGAUGAAGGCGACGACCGUCGGUGGAGAAUCACGUGCGGAGACGGCGGAGCUAGCCGCGUCGGCCGCACAGUUGAUGAAGAGGCCGAUGUAGUCGAUGCCGGUAUCGGAGUAGAGGCGCGCGAGGGGCGACGGCGGCGGCGGGCGACUCAAACCGAUCGUAGAUCGGAAGACUAAAAAGAAAACGCUGAUCAAAACGACCAGCGAGAGAGAAAACCCCGGAGCAACGCUCGGGAAAAAGACUCUCUAGGGCAGCCGGUCAACACGACCGGCGGACGAACCCUAGCUACGGGCGGCGCGGCCCCCGGCGGCGGUCAUGGAGGCCGACCACCCCGGGGACGGCGCGUGGGUGCGAAAGCGGUGGUGGUUAGGGUUUGGAUCGUGAUUAGGCUGAUACCAUGUUAGAAGGGAGAGAGAGGGAUUGUUGCGGAAUAUGAUGGUUGUAUUAUUGAGCCUCGAGGGCGAGUAUAUAUUGAGUACAAGACUUGGAGGGCAAGACGCCUCUCCUAGAGAUAAGGUAGGAAUCCUAAACUACAUGUAACCCAAAUAUAUCUCUAACACCUCGUCGUUAUUUUUUCGUUCUGGACGUGGCAAUCAAUGCGGUGUUUCGAGCCGAAAGCGAUGCGUCCUUCUUUCAUCUGUGCUGUCCGUCUGAGCCCAUCAAGCAUAUGGGCAUUUUCCCAUUAAAAAAAAGCAUAUGGGCGUUUUCGCGUCUCGCGACGAAAAGGCCCGUGGGCUUCCUUCGAAACCGUCACAGAGAGCUGAGAGAAGAAAAGAGGAAGGACUAUUCUGGCCUAUAAAAUACCAUGAAGAAGAAAAAAAACUGGCCUCUAAAAAAGGGGUUUAGAUCCUCUGCAGUACCGUAUGGUGCUGUAGUAUGGAUAACAUGUGGGGCCAGGUCUCACCUGGCAGUGACUGUACAACAUCAUACAGUACUGCAGAGGAUCCUAACCCCUUAAAAAGUGGGGGCAAUGGAAUGGAACGGAAUGUUUUCUGUUGCUGGGAGAAUCGGAGCUUUGUCGAAAGCAGUUUGUUUCUUGUUNNNNNNNNNNNNNNNNNNNNNNNNNNNNNNNNNNNNNNNNNNNNNNNNNNNNNNNNNNNNNNNNNNNNNNNNNNNNNNNNNNNNNNNNNNNNNNNNNNNNNNNNNNNNNNNNNNNNNNNNNNNNNNNNNNNNNNNNNNNNNNNNNNNNNNNNNNNNNNNCUUAGAAAUGUCUUUUUUUUGUUAUAAAAUUUAUUAAUUCGUCCAGGUCGAACUUCACAUGCUCCCUGCCCUAGUAGUUCAGAAAAUAAAAGAAUUUACUCCCAUCGUCAUCGUCACAAAUAGAAGAAGCUGAGGCCGUGCAAUGUGAUGGGGUAAGUUUACCGCUUUGUCUGGGUUUCAGAAGAUCUUCCACGGGAUUAAAGCUCCAACCGUCCCUGUCGCUGUUGAGCCUUUUGACAAAUGCGGCUAAGCUUUGUGAUGGCGAGACGCUAUCAUUCUUUCCUGGCGGUCUCUUUUUGAUAAAGGUGCAUGUUACCUGAUCUGUGUCCCUAUAUCACAUGUGUUUGGAUGGAAUUUUUUUCUUCCAAUGUCUUACUCCUAGUUACCUACACCUCCCAAAAACACAUUGGCGUCUCAACUUUGUCCAUCCUACUGAACUGCUCACACCUGUUAGAAUAAAUUCAAUGCAUACCAUUAAUCAUCUGAGGAUCAAGCAAUCACAUGAGCACGACACCGAAAUUUGUUAACGAGGUUCACCGAUAUGGCUAUAUCCCGGGGCUUGACUACGGGCGCUCCUCCCCGUGACACCGUCACAAUACCGCACACCGGCCACCCGGGCUCCGGCACACGCCGCCGGCUCCCCCUUGCGCACCUGUGAUAUUAUGUUGGCAUAGGUUACAUCGUGUGUCUACCCCCGCUAUAUAUGAGAGGCCUAGGAUAUAAGUGUCCUAAUUGAACACGACUCCACACCCUAUGUAAACACAAUACAACUCAUAGUCCAACUGUAACCUACCUUGUACACUAUAUUCGACACAACUCCAACAAACUCCACCUUGACGAAUAUUCUCCACCAUCUUAAAUUCAUCAAUGCGUCAAACUUCCAUGUACAUUGGACUUGAGUUUAUCCCAUGAGUAUCGUUGCUACUCCAAAGACUCCAUAUGACUCCACCUGCAACUUUGUAGUCCCUCCUUUUCUUGACCACAGUCAACACUCGAGCAAAAUUAAGUUCCUUGUUACUCUAGUUUGUGCUUUCAACUUUCAGAGUAUCCGUCCAACGCCAUCACACACUGAUCACUGACCUGCGUGAAAAUGAACAACUCACAUAUUGGGUGUCACACAUAAAAGUUACCUGAACUCGACAUCACCGCUCCUUUCUUAACCGCCUGUCUGAAACUUGAAGGAAUUUCACCGUUCCUUGUCGUCAUCCUGAGUCAAAUUCGUAGUUGUCUCACCACAUGUAUGACCACCAGAGCCCUGGCCCGUCUCCAUGCCCCGUGCAUACCGCACGCCUCGCCGCUAUUACCGCGUCAAGCCUCCGCUGUCCCGGUCGAGUCUCAAGGGUCGCGAACCCACACCACUCAACUCCCACUGCAGAGUACCACCGAUCAUCACCGGCCGGUGACGAGUUUCACGCUUUUAUCAGACCACUGGGCUCCAGUCCGAACUGCGUGUCACUCGCUUUUUUCCGCUGAAUAGGCUUCAACUCUCUGUGCACUUACGUCGUAGCCCCUCAAUCCAACUCCACCUUCAACAUGACUCCAUGGUAGAUGAUCCGUCCACCCCUGCGCCUCAUCGACUUCAAGCUUCGUGUAUACACCACCUUGAGUCAACCCUGCGUCAUAGUCUUGUCGAAGCCAUACAAGCCCUCAAGCCUGCGCCACGUGUUUUCACGCCCCAGAAGUCGGUCACCAUCAGCAUCACGCUCCUAUGUCGUCUUUGCUGAUCCCACCACUGUCUUCUGUAUCAACCGACUCACGUCGAUCCGUCAGACUAUCUAGUCCGACCCAGCCGAACUCGUUCGACUGUAUGACACGCUCGAGGCUCCCAAAUCAUCUUCCGCGAAUUUUCAUCCAUCACACAUAAUUCUAUCUUAGCUGGCAUGACUUCCCGCAACGCCCUCAAGCAUCUCUGUUGUGCCAACAAAUUUUUCAUCCUUAUCUGCCAUAACCCAAGGUUUUCAGUUCCGUGACUUCUCCACCUCAAACCUGGUAUCCGUUGGCGCCAUGGUUCUUUGUACGGCUGAUCCUGCGAAAAAUUAUAUGAGCUUUCCACGCGAUGCCCCAAGCACACGGACAGAACCUCUGCAUGCUACUAUAUAUAGCAAAACCAAGAGAAUUAAAAUCUUUGCCUUCACGUGGUAACUCUCGUCUCAGCUCAACUUCCUGAUGCUAGCAAUUGUCUUGUCAACGCUCCUGCUAAUUUCAACGGAUGCAUAUCCCUUGAUGGAUUUAUUUUCCCGAUUGAUUUGCCUGCCUAAUUCCGUGUCAUUGGAGACUUGGUCCCCCUUUUUUUUCCAAAACAAAUCUUGGUCGCUGUAGCUCAGCGUUGUACGCGUUCGUGUCUCCAUCGGAGUCCAGUCCGCCUCCGCGUACGUACGCGCACACACCCGCCUGACUACGGCCCUCGCCAGCGCUCCAAGCGCCGCCUACCAGCCUGCCUGGCCACACACGAGCAGCGCAGCGCGCACCGCUGUAUGCGCGAUCCAGCCGCUGGAUUGCUUUAGUUCCUGACACGAGUGCCGUUGAUUUCUGUGCUGCCCGUCGAGUCCGAUCUCUUCCGAGCUUGUUGCUUGCAAUCGCUCGACCAUAGCUUAAAUCAAACUGAUCUCUUCUGCGUCUUCUACUCUUCCUCUAGAUCAACACCACGGCCUCAAAUCGAACCUUACUCAUGAUACCACUUGUUAGAAUAAAUUCGAGACAUACCGUUAAUCAUCCGUGGACCAAGCAAUCACACGAGCACGACAUCGAAAUUUGUUAACGAGAUUCACCGAUAUGGCUACAUCCCCGGGGCCUGACUACGGACGCUCCUUCCCGUGACACCGUUACAAUACCACACUCCGGCAUGCCCGUGCUAUUAUGUUGACAUAUGUUACAUCGUGUGUCUACCCCGCUAUAUAUAAGAGGCCUAGGAUACAAGUGUCCUAAUUAAACACGACUCCAGACCCUAUGUAAACACAAUAUAACUCAUAGUCCAACUAUAACCUACCUUAUACACUAUAUUCGACACAACUCCAACAACACCUACCAGUUCACUCAAAAAGUUUUAAGACGAAAAGAAAAUGCAGACAACAACAUAUUCCAACAUAAACAAGUCGACAAGACCUCACUGGAAAUAUCGACAUAACAGAUCAGACGACAAGACCAGACAUUUUCACAACACUCCCUCUUGUUUCAUUUCGCCGGAGUUCAGACGGUUCAAACCCCACGCCACAAGAACAGUUCACUCAAUCAAGAAAGAAAGAAAGAAAGAAAGAAGAAAAGAGAAACGGAUGAUUACGGAAUCCCCCUUAUGUACAUUGUCAAACUACACUCUCUUAUUCACUCCCAUCAGUCCUAAUCAGCCACCGUUGCUUUCUUUCAUCUUCCACCAGCGGCACCGGUCACCUCCUCACCAGCAGUUUGUAGAGCACGAAGUUCACGUACUUCGACUGGAACCGGUGGGUGAGUCCGAGGGCGAGCAGAGACUGCGCCCCCCACCCUUUCUCGAUGAACAGAUGGUUGAGGACGACAUGCUGCGGCUUCGGCUUUGGAGCGAGUUCGUCGGAGUGAUCGAUGCCACCAAGGGCAGUCAUGAGAAGCUGAGGUGGAAGAGCGGGCGGAUCCUGCUUGGUAAGCUCCUCAUCGGUUGGGAACUCCAUGUUGUAGCUGUGCUCAGGCGAUGGGGGCGCGUCGAACUCCGCCACGCUGUCAAGACUAUCUGGGAUAUACUCCUAAUCAAAACAGAGAAGAGAUGCUUUCAGAUAAAAUCAAGAACCUACAUUCUGGAAUAUCAUUUUAGAGAAGGCCGGAGCGAAAUGCUGAAACAGACAGAUAUAAUCCUUACUGACAUGGACAUCAAGGAGGUUGGCCACCUGCCCUCUUUCAUCAGUCACAUGAGGUAGUUCGGACACAUAUCUCGGCACCCCAUCAACAAUCAUCCUGUAAUGAUAUAUUCCAGAUGGCAGAACCAACAACACGGCGUGAUCUUUCCCAGACCUCUCUAACACCUUCCUGAGAGUACUCAUAAGGAUAUUUGGUAUUUUAGCAUGUCGUCUUCAGAAUUGGAUAAAACAUUCGAAUAACAGAUCAGGUAAAGGGUAAACCUUGAUGUCCAGUUAUCCCAUGAUCCUUCCACAAACACCUCGUUUCCUCCUUGACUCCAUGUAAUCAAAGUUGGAAUUUCAACCUCCGGGGGGUUAUUGUUGGUGGAUUCAUCCGAGCCAUUCAUCCAUGAAUGGUUAAAAGCAGGUGAAAAUUCAUUCGGUAUCUGCAUCGGAGCUACUGGAACCUGUCAGGUGAAGUUAACCGUCAGUGCAAGCAGGACCAUCAAUAUUGUUCAUAGAUGUGACUUGAACCCCCCCUCCAAAAAAAACGAGUUAGCAACAUCCUACAAAAGAUGGCCAAAGGUCAAUGCACAUAUCUCACAGUACUAUCUGAAAGGUCAAUAAAGCACAUGGUUUUGCAUAGGUCAAAAGUAAUUCAGUAAGAAUAAACUGGAUGCUUUAGCAUGUCCAUUCUAAAGGAAAAGAAAGAACAUUGGCUGCCAUUUAUACACAAUAACAUGAGGCUUAUUUUCCUUCCAACUGGUAUCUUCACCUUUCAAUGAAUUGAAUUGGAGCAGCAUUGUCUUACAAGAGAGAAGGGAGCUGAAGGCAGGAAAGCAAGUUCGACGCGCUAGCAGGAAGCCCGUUGUUCACCAUCGAUCGCGACAAUGAACUUCAGGGCAAAAACCUACUUCUCGACCUACUACCGUAUUGCAGCCAAAGUUUGAUCAAGCCAAUAGCAAAUCUGCCAUACAGCAAAAGGAUUACAACGUUCCAGAGCAGCUUAAUACAGUAAUACAGGGGCCAAAUGCUUUUCUUCUUUACGGAGUAUGAACUGUUGCUGAUCAAAUAAGGUGCAAGCUAAUGUGCAAAAUAUGCUCCUAUUUUAAGGCAAGAAUCAUAUUGGGCCACACAGCAUCAAAGACAAUAUCCAGUAGGUAAGUGAAUCAACAAUAAAAGCACCACCAUAAAUCAUUGUAUUUGAAAUUCAAAACCAUAUAUGAUGGUAAUACAGAUCAUGUAUUCUUUUGUGUACCUUACCAAGUGCUACAGAAUUCAGUUUGAAAUAGUAUGUACUACUAUUGAACGUCCCAUUACACUUAAGCAGUAGUGAAUAAUGUUCUUGCUCUCAGUUUGUUCGAGGAUUCCAUUUCCAUUUAUAGUUCCAAAUUACAUUUAAGCAGUACUGAACAAAGAUUUUGCUAUCAGUUUGUUCAAGGAUUCCAUUUCCAAUUAUAGUGCCAACCGUGAAACGCGUUUUGCUUAUCAUGAUGCCCCACAUAUGUUUUCUUGAAUGUGGACUGUCCCUGUAUCAGGACCAAGAGUAAAAAAAUUGGUCUACGAUGUUGCUUAGCACACAGUAUAGUUUAAACAAAUAAGACAAACUGCCCAGAAAAGAAGAUCAAGUUGUAACGGUUUGUCGCACACCACGUAAUGUUCGAGGAAAAUUAAAGAUAUUAUCUAGUAUCUAAUGCUAUGCAGAAUGCGUGAAAGGAAGGAUGACCAACUCGCCCACUGCACCAAACCAAAUCCAUUUGCAGAAUCCAGGUGCAACCAAACGAAAUCUACCAACGCGUCUUCAUCAAAACUACGUUCUUCCACAUGCAUGUUCUAGCUAUAACAUAAACAAGAGCCUACUCUUGGAGAAUACCAGGAACAAACUACAAGUUGCAGUUAAGCCGUGGAUCUCUGAGUUAAAACAUGUGCCAUUGGCCAUCCUUACAACUCAAGUUGCCAUUUCAAGCUUAAACAGCGGGUGGAAAUAAUCUAGUCAUUUAAUGACUGAAGCAACCGCUAAGAACAAUUAGCAGGACUAAAUUUACUACAAUUAAUGCUAAUUUAGUAAUUCCGGCGCAAGUAACUAAUUUAGUAAUUUUACCCGUAAAAAAAACAACUUGGUAAUUUUGAUAGGAACGGAACGGGACUCGGUGCACUUGAUAGCAACAACCGUAUGACGGAAGAAAAGAAAACAUCAAGAAGGCCAGAUGAGGGUUUCUUCCCUCUUUACCAUUUCGGGCAGGGCAAAAUCAUCAUCACCUGCGGCGCGAAGACGUAGGGGACCGGAGGAGGGAGCUCCCGCAUCACGGCGUCCGGCGGCGCCGCGGCCUCCGCGGAGCUCCCGCCGACGGGGGCCACGGCCACCUGCUCCAUCGGCGCCGCCGCGUGGCCGUUCUCCACCGCCCUGGCGCUCGCGUUCCCCAUGCCCAGAUCGCCGCCGCCCGCAGCUGCUCACCCCCUCCCGCACCGCCCAGCCAGGCAGCACCGCCGUCCCUCGAACGCCGCCCCGAGCAGGUAGCCGAGGGCGAAACCAGCGGACUCUGGAGAUCGCUCGCGCGCGCGUGCUGAGUUCAGCGGACUCUGAGGCAGCCACCGGCCGCUUCGCCGGAGGAAGGGGGCAAGGACAUAUAGGAUGGCCAGGCACGUGCCCCGCGCGCCGUCUCCCCUCGCGCGCCACGUGAAUCAUCCCCGAUUUUCCUCAGCCGUUGGAUCUGGCGGUUCGAGACAUCCCGACCGCACAUGUAUAGACGGUAAACGUUUUCGCUAAUGGGUUUUGCAUCAAGGGCGGUGUAAGAAGUCAACAUUUGUGACUCGGCGAUGUUAUCUGUCAAAGCUUUUCGUGUUUGGAUAGCGACCCAAAGAAAUGCAUGCUUCUAAUGAAUAAGAGUUAAUGAAAUGUAAACGUCGUGGCUUCGGCGGAGGAAGGGGAGGAUAAGAUGGCGCGAUACGUGCCCUGCAUGCCCCCUCCUGUUGUGCGUCAGGGCCAUUAUCUCUCGAUUUAUCUUCGCUGUUGGAUCCGGCAGUCCGGGUCAUCUCGACCGCAUAAAUGGGCUGCAUGGGCUAUAACCGAUGUGGUGACGUGCUAGGCGGUGUAAGAAGUCAACAUUUGCGAAUCGGCGAUGUUUCUGUCAAAGAUUUUAGUGUUUGGAUAGCGAUGGAAAUAAAUACAUCUUUCUAAUGGAUAAGAGUUAAUGAAAUGUAAAUGUGUAGCUUCACCGAAAGAAGGGGAGGAUAAGAUGGCACGACAUGUACCCCGCAUGCCACCGUCUCUCGCGUGUCAUGCCACCGUCUCUUCACCGUUGGAUUCGAAGGUCCAAGUCAUCCUGGUAGCAUAUAUGUGCCGCAUCGACUAUAGCGAUAGUAUGAUGAUGCCUUCCUAAGCAUGGAUUUGGAUCAAUGGUCGUGUAGGUAAGAAGUCAAAAGAGAAAAGUUCACAUUACAAUCGUGAACUAACCACUCGGUUUAAUAUUCAACCCUGAACUUAAAAGUUGGUCGAACACCCUAAAAAAACACGGCUCGGGAAUUACCCCCUCCCUCCGGGUUUAACACGGUCAAGCGGUUUUGACCAUGUUGACUGCCUUGUCAGCGUAGCCAUGUCACCUUUACCAUUGGAGUCACCUCAAUGUAGCGAUGGCAUUUUGCCAGCUCCAUUCACGACAACUUUCAUGUGCCCAACACGGUGGUGCCUGCCCCGACCGUACUAUGAGGACAUGGGCGGGGAGUGCUAGACGACGACCUUCUACAAGGAAGCGCAGAGGGGGUACUGCCUACCAACGGUGGUUUGGCUGCAACAGCUUGCUUUGACACGCUACGUCGACAUCCACACGACACGUAGGUAGUGCGGGUGACAACGACCCUUCAACCACACAAGGGAGGUACAGGUGCAACGCCCGCUCGUCGGUCACUGGUGGCAGACGAAGUCAGGGGCUGCUGCUGCUGUGUGGGUGAGGUGGUCGGGGUCGGGGGAACAGCGAAAUGAGAGAGAGAGAGAGAGAGAGAGAGAGAGAGAGAGAGAGAGAAAGGAGCCAACCUUAUUUUUUAAACUGCUAGCCCUAGGCUUAGUUAGCGUAUCUUGGUGACUUGGCAUUACACAGUCCAUCAACACGGUAAAAAACGCUUGACUAAGUCAAAACUGAAAGGAGGGUUGAUUCCUAAACCAUAUGGUUAGUUUGGUAUAUAGGUUGACUGUUUUUAAAGUUCAGGAUUGCAAAUUAAACUGAGUGAUUAGUUUAGGGUUGUAAUAUGGGUUUUUGUCAAGUCAAGACGUGUGACUUGAUGAUGUCGUCUGUCAUUUUUCAUGUUCGUGAUAUAACAUUGCUAUAAGAGAGUAAAACACAUAGAGAGCCUUUUUGCAGUUAUUCAACAACUUGAAACAAAACCUGACGCAAACAAUGCCUCCACUCCCAUAAAAAGCUUAGGGUUCCUCUGCCUCCCGUCAGCACUGCCACUGGUCAGCCUCGUCUCUGGGUAGCCUUAGGGGCCGCGGGGGUGCGGUGGAUCCCAGCCCUUGUUGGAGGAAGGACUAUGUUUUUAGAUGGUUCUUUGAGUUUUUUUAGGGUUUAUGUCUUGUUCAGAAAGAUGAGAUGGCGACGACUCUCUGAAGAUGGAAUAAGGUUCUUCGGGCCUAGCCCCCGUCCCGACGAUGCGGCUACCAUCGUUGGUAGGCAUGUGAAGGUGCGUCUCCGGUGGAUCUCUCUUUGGUAGAUAUGCUUGGAUGUGGUCGUCGUUCGUCUAUGUUCGUGUGUCUUCAAGUUGGAUCCUUCAGAUCUACGCUACUCUUCAUCAAUGUCGAUUGUUGUUCUGGUGCGUUGGUCCUACGGGGACCUUAGCACGACGAUUUCCUGAUUGUCUGCUACAAUAAUUUCUGUCCGGCUCCGACGAAGGAGGGGCGAUGAUGGCGACGCAUCUUUGGCUCGCUUCAGUGCUCGUAGUCGUCGCUAGACGGUCUACGGAUCUGGACCGGGUGUAAUUUAUUAUUUCUGAUGUUCUUUGUGGUAACAUGAUUGAAGACGAAUAGCGGACGUUUUUUUUCAACACGACGAGAAAUGCAUGCGCCUGACGCACGCAUAAAGAGCUGAGGUUUGAGAUGCGAUAGUAGCAGACGUGGCUCGCUAUCGUGUUCGUGUAGUGACCGCGCUCCAGCCGAUGACAAAGAAGGGUCACGCAGGAGCACACCGCCACGGCCGGAAGAGAGUGAGCAUUUCGCACGCAUGCAAAAGAAGAUUUGUCUCCGUCUAUGCGCACGAGCUAUAUAUACGCCUCUUUAGUCACGAUGAAAAUGCGACGUGAAUCUUUUUUUUGGAAGAAUAAAAAUAAAAGAAUGCAGCACGAUGCCAAAAUGCUUGUGUGGAAAGCGGUGUGAGGAUAACUAUUAUCGCGACGGUCGAUGAAGAAAGAGCAGAAGGGAAUGAAGUGUCACAGAAGCAAGCCAUUCUGUAAGCAAAAAAUAUCGGUCUCUCCUAGCAAUGGAAACCAUGUGAUUUGACAGCGUAGAGCAAGGGAGAUCUGGCAACUAAGUUUGUUUACUCUAUCUUCUUCCUGAAGUAAUUGUUAUUUUAUUUAUUUAUUUACUCUGAGUUACUAGCAACAAGGGAAGGGCGAGACCGAGAUGAUAAAAUAAACCGAUCUAAUGUGGUGGCGGUCAUGAUUAGUAGGAACGGGACGUCGAUGGACGGGUGGGUGGGGAUGGGUAGGCCCGUGCUUAUCCAAUCCGAUCCGAGCUCGCUUUCGAAGCUUUGUUUGGUCCGUUUUGGGCGAUCGGAUGCGGAUNNNNNNNNNNNNNNNNNNNNNNNNNNNNNNNNNNNNNNNNNNNNNNNNNNNNNNNNNNNNNNNNNNNNNNNNNNNNNNNNNNNNNNNNNNNNNNNNNNNNNNNNNNNNNNNNNNNNNNNNNNNNNNNNNNNNNNNNNNNNNNNNNNNNNNNNNNNNNNNNNNNNNNNNNNNNNNNNNNNNNNNNNNNNNNNNNNNNNNNNNNNNNNNNNNNNNNNNNNNNNNNNNNNNNNNNNNNNNNNNNNNNNNNNNNNGUGGUGGCGCCGCAGCGCAGCCCAUGCCUGUGCCUGGCUUCGAUCGACCGAUCCUUAUCCUGCAGCUUGCACGUACGGACGGACGCAUGUUGUUGCGCCAAACAAUGUGUUGGAUUUGGCCGGUGGUGGUGACUGCUGGCGGCUGCCAUGGUGCGCAGGCCGGUCGUGCCGUGCGUGGGACUCGCGCUAGUCACGCACACCUACGUCUGCGUCGUGGCGUCGGCGAGCAGGGCGAUGCCCCCGUGUGUAGGUUACUUGAAAAUGAUUUGGGCGCCGGUGCGCGGCAGUGGCACCGAGCCGACGAUGCAAUCAAGGCAAACUUGGAACGAGCCCAAGACAGACGGUUAUGGCUGUUCUAAUUCGUGGGCGUGUGGCCAUGGAGUACAUUGCGUGGAGUUAGACGAUCCGUGCAUGCGUGCGACGGGACCAUGGCCGGAGACAGAAGAGAAAAUUAGCUAGGCUUGUUCUAAUCCGGUUGGAUAAGCCCGAGCCUCGGCUCCUCGACCGGUCGGUCGGUCUCGGCAGAUGGCCCACGCAUGUCACUGCACGACCAUACGACCGCCAGGCCAGGGGUGCGUAAAAAGCAUCCGGGAGCUGGCCGUUCGCGGACUGGCCUCUUCAGGUCCAUGGAUCGUUCGUUCGUUCGUCGAAUUUGACCCGUGAUCGGCGAUCAGCGACCGGACCGAAAAACGGAAGACCUCCAGCCAAGCACGCCCAAGGCAGUACGCAACGCAGCGAAUAGACUCACUCGAUCAAAGCGGCGACUUGCUGCGAUUCCGUUACGGAAAGUAAGUAGUAGUAAUUCAUCCUGUUGAAUCAUUGACGGCAACGUGCGAUCAAGCAAUGUCUGGAGCUGGUUGUUGGUGAGGGUAAAUGCUGGCAACAGCAAUGGUGGGUUUCGGGCUGUUCGAACAUCCUCCGACUAGCCAUAACGAGUAGUAACAUAGAAUAGUAACAUAUGUGUGGUGUUACUCAUACUAUAUGUUACUAUAUGCUUCUUUUUCUUUAUUUAUUGCUUGCCAUACCAUUUAUUUCAUCUAAAUAUGUGUGAUGUUACUAUCUAUAUUACUCUCAUUAUGGAUAGUCUCAACUGCACAUGACGCCCCUCUGCCUUUUUAUCCCAGAGCACCCAAUCCUCACCGGCAGACUUCGGGUUCGGUCGGUGUCGACGGGCACGCCGGGGCUGCACCGUGGUCGAGGUCGUCGCUUCCGCGCCUUGCUGGGUCGACCACAAGGCUCUCUGACAGCGUGUCUCUUGUCUUCGGUUUGCAGCGCGUCGUCGUCAGACAGGCCCUCUGACAGCGUGUUUGAGAGCUUGCUGGGUCGUGGUGAAGUUGGUUCUGGCCCGCCUACAGCUAGGUUCGGCUCGCCCAAAGCUUGAGCUCGGCAACGUUGGUGAGCUGAUUCACACUAGACAUGCCCUGAACGUUCAGCCGCGUGAGGCCUUUGGGAGUUCGGAGUUAGCACCAACUUUUUUUUUUGGCUUAGUUUGAUAUUUUCGCGAUUCAGAAAAAUGCCGUGACAACUUCACUCUUUGGAAAAAUGCCGCUGCAACUUUGCAAAGCUUCUGAUGUCAUUAUGCAAAAUUCUGGACCAAAAUACCCAUGUCUCUUUUCUUGCUCUUCUCCCCAUAAACUUUUUCCACAUCAAAUUUUAUGACUCGGCUGUUUCACAACAGACAUGCCCUUGUGCAGGCGGCGAAGCCCCUCUAAAUCCGGCGAGCCCACCCAUUCUUCUUUUGCCGCUGCAAAAUUUUGGCUGUUCAAAGAACCUCACACACAACUAGAAUCUCAAUCAAGACUUCUUCGCUUUGUGCUAGCCGGGAACUAAUGUAUAAAUAUAUCGACCUAUGUUUGCAAGUUGGCAUAUGAAUUCCAUUGCUUAGAGCAUCUUCAACAGGCGCGCUGUAAAUAUACCCAUUUUAGCGCGCGCGCAACCCGGCGGAUGGCUUCAGCGGGCGCGUAAUAACCGCGCGCGCGAUAUAAGCAGUUGGGCGCGCGGCAGGAAGCGCUACCUCGCGCGGUGUAUUUGCAGCGCCCGCUUCCGCGCGCGGCACACUCGAGCGCUCUGUCUUCUCCCCCUCCAAAGCCCCGCGCGCGCCGACGCCGACGACCCGCACCCAUGGACCCACGCGNNNNNNNNNNNNNNNNNNNNNNNNNNNNNNNNNNNNNNNNNNNNNNNNNNNNNNNNNNNNNNNNNNNNNNNNNNNNNNNNNNNNNNNNNNNNNNNNNNNNNNNNNNNNNNNNNNNNNNNNNNNNNNNNNNNNNNNNNNNNNNNNNNNNNNNNNNNNNNNNNNNNNNNNNNNNNNNNNNNNNNNNNNNNNNNNNNNNNNNNNNNNNNNNNNNNNNNNNNNNNNNNNNNNNNNNNNNNNNNNNNNNNNNNNNNNNNNNNNNNNNNNNNNNNNNNNNNNNNNNNNNNNNNNNNNNNNNNNNNNNNNNNNNNNNNNNNNNNNNNNNNNNNNNNNNNNNNNNNNNNNNNNNNNNNNNNNNNNNNNNNNNNNNNNNNNNNNNNNNNNNNNNNNNNNNNNNNNNNNNNNNNNNNNNNNNNNNNNNNNNNNNNNNNNNNGAGCGGUUCCUUGACGCCUACGCUCCGACGUCGGAGGAGGACAUUACUGAGACAGAGUCCGAGUCGGACGAGUAGUAGUAGGAGAACUAUCUACGAAACCAAAUAUGUAGUAGGAAAACUAUCUACGAAACCAAAUAUGUAGUAGGAGAACUAUCUACGAAACCAAAUAUGUAGUAGGAGAACUAUCUACGAAACCAAAUAUGUAGUAGAAAAAAUUGAAAUAUAGCGCGCCUGCUGAAGCGGCGUGGGCGCGCUUUAAUUUGCGGCGGCCGCUGGAGUCAGCGCACCGCUGCGCGCAAAAGCUGGCUAACCCGGCACUGUAUCGCGAAUUUUAGCGCGUGACGCGUUGCGCGGCUGUUGGAGAUGCUCUCACAACAUUGCACACAGACAGAGUGGUUUCUCUUGCAGCACAUGGAUGUUGGUUGAUCUCAUAAAACUUUGCGUAAAUCAGAUGCUCAAUUGCUUCUAUCGAUCACUUAAAAGAAGCUAGAUUCUUUUUUUUUUUUGAGAACUCUUAAAAAGAAGCUAGAUGAUGCGCUGACAGAUGCAGACGAGAAGCAAGCCCACAUCAACAAGAUAUGCAAAAUUAAUAAGCUCCGUCCCCUCAAAAAAAUAAAUAAAUUAAUAAGCUCCGUGUUGGGGAUACCCCGGGGAUCCUAUUUGGCGCGCAUGUCGCUGGUUAGGGACAGCACACCCCUUGCUUUCCGCUGCGUACAUUUGGGCCGGUCCAACUACCAUGUUUUUGGUUUUUUCUUUUUUCUCCUUUUCAUUAUCGUUUUUAUUUUAUUUUCCUUUUUCUUUCUUUUCCUUUUUUGUGAACAUUUUUUAAUAUUAUGAAAUAUUUUGGAAAUCAUGAGCAUUGUUUUUGAAAUUAUGAACACUGUUCAAAUUAGUGAUUUAAAAAAAUAAUUUACAUACAUUUUUCGAAAUUGUGAAAAUAUUUUUGAAACUUGUGAUUUUUUUUAAAUCAAUCGAAUUUAGAAAAAAAUUUGUAACAGUUUUUAGAAAUUCGCAAACAUUUCCUAACUUUUGCGAACAUUUUAUGAAUUCAUGAACAAUGUUUCAAAUUCACUAACAUUCUUUCAAUACAUGAACAUUCUUUACAUACAUUUUAUGAAAUCGUGAACAUUUUUUAAAUACACAAACAUUUUUUACAAUUUUCUGAACAUCUUUCGAAUUUGCGAAUAAUUUUUACAAAUUCGUGAGCAUUUUUUUUUAAGUUGCGAACAUUGUAUACAUAUGCGUCGUGUUUUGCGGGUUUAGUUAGUUGGCCAUAGUUUCUCUUGAUGUUCUAGAACAUGUAGUUCACACAUAUGUAAUAGUCAUUGGAGUUACAUGUCUGGUCAUCUAUAUAUUUUGGUCAAAUGCAUAGUAAUUUCUUUUCUAUUGUACUGAACACCCAUGUCUUUCAUAUAUAUCAUUAACUAUCUUUUUACUUUGUUCCUUCAUUUGUGAUGAUAGAUAAGAUUUGCAUUAUUUGAAAUAGAAAUGGUAAUUUGUAUACACAUAUUCUCCCCUAGCUAACUCCUUCAACCCACACAUCAUUUUCUUAAAAUCUCGGUGCUUCGCCACCUGUACUUUAUCAGUUAAACUUUGGGCAUGCUUUGCAAUAAUGAAUAUCUAGCGCCUUUUUACUAUAGCAAAAACGGCGUGCAUUUUUUUUCCUUCUGUUUGUCUUGUUGGUUUUUGGCCACCCACCUUUGGAUACUCUUUAUGUCCUGUAACCGUUGGUGCAUUAUCAGCAUUGCUAUCAGUGAGAUGUUUGUCUGGUUAGAUAUACAUUCAGGCCAAGGAAUAUAAAAUUGAGGGAUAUGGGCUAAAAUUGUAUGCCAUGUAGUUGAGCAUGACGGCAGAUAUGGACCAAGCAUGUUGUGCUAUUAGAAAUAGGAUUGACGAUCCAUACCAGCCCACAAUACUAAAUACUUCUUUUACUCACAAAAGAUCAAAAAGAGAUGGUGCUUGCAAAUGGUUUGCUGUCAAUAGUUUUUGUUCUUUCAGAAGUGCACAUCUGCAAGUUAAUGUCUGGCAUGAAUGCUCAGCUCAUAUGCCUGUAUCGAAGCAACUCAACUCCAUGAUUGUUUUUGAAGAGUUUUUGAGUAAACGGAAGGAAUACCUUUGUCAGAAGUAGUAUAGUUUCUUAGGGCCCCGCUAUAAAAUGUCUAAAAGCUCAGAACUUGUGUUUUUAAAUCAGAGCAAUUGACCUUUGUACUAGUUAUGUUUUUUUCCCUCAAACACGCUCUUUGACUCUGAAUCACACUAGCAUCGAAAGCUUGUGUUACCAAAGUACCCCCAAAAAAUACCGUGUACUAUUAUUCGUGGAUUGGAACAUUGUUUAGUGCUCCAUUCUUAGAAUAGGUGUGUCCCCCAAUAUGGCAAAUAAUACAACCAACCAUGUGAAUGCAUGGUUGUCCAGUAUCAAGCUGAUCGGUCAACAAAAAUGGUGCUGCCAACAUCCUAGACUUAUGGCACAGAGGUCGGGCCAAUAUAAGCUAAGCAAAUUCCAGAACUAUACUGGACAAAAAUGUACAACUAUAGCUUCAGGGCCCAUGCAUUGCAUUCUUAGAGUUUUAUAAGAUACAUCGUACUGCAGACUUUAAUAUUUAGCAUUAAGUCGAUUCAAUGGUAAAUAUGGAUUGGCUCGGAGUGACGACAACUUGGUAUUUCUAGUAGACUGAUAUACGUAGAUUUAUCAUGUAAUUAAUCCUGAUUAAUAUGUAGUUAUUGAUCCGCUGAAAACGUGUGAACUACCCAAAGUGCCCUUAAACCCCAAAUACGUACACUACAAGAUUUUUGUUGUGGUAUUGCGUAAUUUGGGUUGUCGGAUUAUAAAAUAAACGUCCAAAAAUGAUUUGAUGUAUUGUAAAAGGACUCUUACUUUUGUGUGAAUGUAAAAAUACUCUUGCGUUUGCAUGUAUAUGUAAGCGUGCUCUGUCUCUUGCUACAUGUUUCGACUCGAGGCUUACAAACACCCUCCUACUUACAAAGAUAUGUACAACAAAAUAUGAUAAUGACAACAACACGUCAUGAUUUCAUACCUUGUAAUGCUUCAGCCACAGUUGACUUUGCUUUGUACUCUGCUUAACAAUCAAUAAGAAUGAUUGUGUGCAUCAGAAUGAUGCAGGGUCGGGGGUUUCAAUCUCCUUUAAAACACACACACACAAUGAAUGCAGUCAACUCAAGCACCCAAAGCAAAGAAACUCGCUGAAUAGAUUCGAGAGUAGUGACUCAAGCACCCAAAGCGGCACGGGAAGCAUAUAUGUAACUCAUCCCAUCGAUGGCAACAGCCAGAAACAAGCCCACAACGAUCGAUCUCGGCUUGUACACAACACAUACAUAAAUUAGCCUGCCUGCUCUCUGGCACUGGCACACAGCUAAAUUAACCUCGCUCACGAAUCCACCUAAGUCGUGCAUGCAUGAACCGGCGCCACCCGAUUCUCUGGCUGCAUGCUAGUAGUAGGAGUAGGAGUACCCAGUUUAUUCUUCACUCCGGCGGGCAGCCAACGCCGUGCAUCGGCCUAGCAGUUGCUGCCCAGCCGCGGGUUGUCGGCGAGGCUGGAAUUGAUGUUCUUGAAGGGACCAUCCGUCGGAAUCGGGCCGCACAGAUCGUUGUUUGACAGAUUACUGCAAGCAAAACAAUGGAGAUGAAGAUCACUGGAUUAAUUGAUCGUCGAGAGAGAAGAGAACAACUGAGAAAAUCGUCCUACGUACACGCUCGUCUGGUCGGACAGCCCAUCCAGCUCGCUGGGGAUCGGGCCGGUCAAGCGGUUCUGUUGAAGGUGCCUGCCAAAUCAUCAUGCAAAUGUUCAGACAUCAGAGCCAAACUUGUUUUAUCAUGAGAAUUCAAAAUUUUUUGUUUUUGUUUUAUCAUGAAACUUGUUUACCAGACUUCAGACUUCAAAUCCAAUAUUGUACUACGAGGCAAUUCGAUGCUUGAAAAGCAAAAACAAAAAACAUGAAGAGAAGAAGAAAAAAAAACUGGAGAUCAUGGACUCACAGCUGUUUCAGAGACUUGAGUUUCGCGAGCGAUGCAGGUAUCUGCCCCGAGAGGCUGUUGUUGUGCAGGUGCAUGGUGUUCAGGUUCUCCAAGUUGCCCAGCUCUUCAGGGAUCGUUCCUUGGAUAUUGGUGUACGAAAUCCACCUGUUCAUUAGAUGCCAUAAGAGUUUAUAGUACAUUUUGAUCCAUCAACCGCGUCAACGGAACAAUCGCUACGGGCAGAAACAGAUGGGUUAGAGAGAGAGGCUCACAGUUUGGUUAGCUGGUCCAGCUUGCCCAGCUCCGGCGACAGAGGUCCGGUCAGGUUCACAAAGCCGAUUACUCUGACAGAACAAAGAAACCCCGUAUUGAAAAUCGGAUGAAGUAUACGACGGAACGGAAGCAGUAUGGAAGGGAAGAAGGAUCGGUGUCGCCUCACUCACAUCUCGGUGACGCGGUUGGCCUGGCCGUUGCAGGUGACGUGGGACCAGUUGCUGCAGGGGCUCACCUCCGGGAUCCAGGUAUACAGCGCACCGUCAGGGUCCUGUAGGCCUCUCCGCAGGGCCAUGAGCGCGUCACGGUCGCCGUACAGGCCAGCCGCCGCGGGCUGCAGCAGCAUGGUCGUCACGACCGCCAUGAAGACGGUCACCGCCAGGGGCACUCGGGCUCCGGCCGCCUUGGGCGCCAUGGGGACUGGGGCGGGGAGUGGGACGAGCACGGCCGGUGUUGUGACUUGUGAACUUUCGAGCUGUGCUUUGGAUGAUCGUCAUGCCGUGGUUUGAUGGGGGGUUUUAUAGGGGAAGGAAGGCGUGGGCGACGGGGUGGUGGUGCGCGUGUGAACUCCUACUCCACCUCUUUGUCAACACUGCGGCAUGGGAACUCAAAUGCAAUGUGCUGCUCAAGAAGGUAGGGUUUUGGACAAUGGCAGCUGGCCACCUUUGAAAUGCUACGAAAUGGUGAGUUUUUGGACAAUGGCAGUUGGCCACCUUUUGCUCUGGAACUGCCGGUUUAACUUGGACUUAUCGUCUAUGCUAUAAUUAUAUAUGUCCGGUCAUAUAUAGCUUUUGCCGUUUUGAUCACAUCCAUUAUGCAUUAUGCAUAGCAGCUUUUGGACAGAUAUUAGACUAUAUAUACUCUGUGUCGUCAUGCACCAUGAUAGAUAUAUGCAUGGUUUGAUAUAUAAUCUGAAAAUCUUGGACAAUAUUGGAUUGCAAAAUAUUCCUGUUGUCGAGUCAUAUGUGAAGAUGGCAUCUUAGUAUCUUACAACGCGUCUGAAGCUGUGAAGCAAUGUCAUGUGUGCAUACAUUUCUUUGCUCGUGCGAAUAGUAGAUUUAAUGGUCGUGGAGUUAUAUUUCUGUCCAUGUAUAUAUUUUGGUCAAAUGCAUCGAAAUUUCUUUUCUACGGUACCAAACAUUUAUUUUUUGUGGGUAUUAUUAACUAAAAUUGGUACAUCGUUUCUUCAUGUGUGAUGAGAUAAGAUUUGCAUUAUCCUUUUUCAACCCACACAUCAUCCUCUUAAAAUGUCGGUGCUUGGCCACCUGUAGUUUGUGGUAAAACUGUGUGCAUGUUUUUCUAUUAUGAAUAUCUAGCAGUUUUUCCACUCUAGAGAAAAUACUAAUUUUCUUUUCUGUUUGACUUAUUGGUACUUGGCCACCCACCUGUGGAUACUCUUGAUGUCCUACAACCACUGGUGCAUUUAUAGCAUGGCUAAGUGAGAUGUUUGUCUGCUUAGAUGUACAUUUAUGCCAUAUAAGCAGAGUGAUUUUCUUUCCAUGGAUUCUAAAAUUGGGGGACAUGGGCUAUGCCAUGUAGUUGAGCGUGAUGGCAGGUACAGACCAAGAAUUUGUGCUAUUUAAACAGAAUUGACUAUCCAUACAAAAUACUUCCUCCGCCCGAAAAAGCUUAGCAGUUAAUAAUAUUGUUCUUCCAGAAGUGCGAAUCUGUAAGUUAUUACUACCUGUAAUGAACGCCUCAUAUGCCUGUAUCAAAGCAUCUCACCUCAACGUUUUUUUUAAAUGCCUGGGUAAAUGAAAGGAAUACCAAAGCAUCUGUUAGAAGCAGUUUCUUAGGGCCUGCUGUAAAAUGUUAAAACGCUCAGAACUUGUGUAUUUUUUUAAAUCCAUAGCAAUUUACCUUUUACCAGCUAUGGUUCUUUCCUGAAUCAGGCUCCUUUAUUCUGAGCCGCACUAGCAUUGAAAGCUUGUGUUCUACUCAACAUGGCAAUAUUCUCAACGUACCAAAAAAUACCAUGUAUUAUUACUCCAUGAAUGGAACAUUGUUCAGUGCUCCAUUCAUAGCACAAGACUACCUCCCAAUAUGGCAAAUAGUCCAGCUGAGCAGUCAAUAAAAAUGGUGCACCGGCACCCUAGACCUAUGGCACAGGGGUCGGGCCGAUAUAAGCUAAGCAGAUUCCAGGACUGAACUGAACCAAAAUGUACAACUACCCGAUAUCUUCACGUAGCUUUUUUCAAACCAGGCUUCCCCCCUUUCUAUUAGUUUCAUAAUGGAAAUACAUUUGUCUCAGGAACUGAAACUAUCAGGGCUAGGGAAAGAAGAAAAGCGAGUUCGGAGCAAUACCAGGAAACCCACCAUCCGCGCCUGUCAUCAGAAACAACAGAUCAUGGGGCGAAAACCUGAUAUCACCCAAAGCCGCACUACGAGAAACUAAACAAGUACCGCACAUAUUACAGACGCCAUCACCAGGCACAUGCCACAGUAUCAGCAAUUGCCAAAAUAAAAGAUACCCCCACCAAAGCACCCAGCAACACAUCCCGGCAGACGAUGACAAGCACAUACUUCUGUUGACUCCAGGUGCAUCUUUAACUUCCAUCGUGCCCGUCCAUUGUUGGCGCCGGAGGCCCGCAUAGCAGCAUCAUCUGAGUUGUGUUCUCUUUCAGCAUCUUCGCGCCCCUCUUCACCAUCUCUUCCAUCUCAGGUUUCCGGAGGCCUCCCCAGUAUAUCAGAAAAGCACAAGCUGUGAACACAAUCUCAAACGGAGAGUUAAUCCAUUUGGACUCAAAGGUGGACCGGUUUCGAGUCAGCCAAAUGGCCCAACAUAUAGCUGCCAAGCCAACGGUGUAAAUUUGUUCAAGGCUAGGUAAGAAACUGUAAACCCAAAUAUAGUAUUGCCAGACAGAAUUAGGACAACAAUCAGUCCCAAGAAGAGCUCCAACAGUUCUCCAUACCACUCUAGAUACAGGGCAUAAGAAAAGCAAGUGUUGGGUUGUUUCCAAUUGCUCACAAAAGGAACAAGGAUUUCCGGGCCAAAAUCUUUUUUUUUCAUGUUUUCUCUAGUCAGGAUGGCAUUUUGCCCCACCCGCCACAAGCAGAUUUGAAUUUUUAGAGGUAGUUUAGCAUCCCAAAUUCACUUGAAGCUAGACCCAACAAUAUCAUUUCCAGCCAUCUAUACAAAGACUUUGUCGUAAACUUUCCUGAAUUGUCAAAUUUCCAAUACACCUCAUCAGGCAAAUUGCUUUGCUUUAAUGUUAAUACCUCUUUCUUCAUUUCCUCCCAUUGUUUCAUUAUCUCAGGAGACACCCUCCUCCUAAAGGAGGAGAUUUGAUUCAACGAAUCAAUUCUGUCAACAGUGCAAUCUUGUUCAACACAUAUUUCAAAAAGCAAAGGAAAUUUCUCUUUAAAGGGAGUCCUACCCUCCAGUUCAUCGAACCAGAGCCUGGCCACAUCCCCCCUAUUCAAUUUGACACCCCUGCCCAGCAUAUACAAGUCUUUCACUUUCAAAAGGGAUUUCCAGCAUGGCGAGUCAUUGUUUUUUUCCUUCACCAUGGCCACCAAAGUUUUCUUCAAGUAUUUCACCUUAACUAUAUCUUGCCAGAGACCUUUAUUUUUAUCCGGUUUCCACCACCACUUCACCAACAAACUAAUAUUCCGUUUUCUUCAAGGCCAGGUAAGAAACUGUAAACCUAAGUAUAGUAUUGCCAGACAGAAUUAGGACAACAAUCAGUCCGAAGAAGAGGUCCAACAGUUCUCCAUACCACUCUAGAUACAGGGCAUAAGAAAAGCAAGUGCUGGGUUGUUUCCAAUUGGUCACAAAAGGAACAACAAGGAUUUCCGGGCCAAAAUCUUUUUUUUCAAGUUUUCUCUAGUCAGGAUGGCAUUUUGCCCCACCAGCCACAAGAAGAUUUGAAUUUUUAGAGGUAGUUUAGCAUCCCAAAUCCACUUGAAGCUAGACCCAGCAAUAUCCUUUUCCAACCAUCUAUACAUAGACUUUGUCGUUAACUUUCAUGAAUUGUCAAAUUUCCAAUACACCUCAUCAGGCAAAUCACUUUGCUUUAAUGUUAAUACCUCUUUCUUCAUUUCCUCCCAUUGUUUCAUUCGUUGGGGAACGAAGUAAUUUCAAAAAAUUUCCUACGCACACGCAAGAUCAUGGUGAUGCAUAGCAACGAGAGGGGAGAGUGUUGUCUAUGUACCCUCGUAGACCGGCAACGGAAGCGUUGACACAACGUAGAGGAAGUAGUCGUACGUCUUCCCGAUCUGAUCGAUCCAAGUACCGAACAUAGGCACCUCCGAGUUCUGCACACGUUCAACUCGGUGACGUCCCUCGAGCUUCGAUCCAGCAGAGUGUUGAGGGAGAGUUUCGUCAACACGACGGCGUGAUGACGAUGAUGAUGUUCUACUGACGCAGGGCUUCGCCUAAGCACCGCUACGAUAUGAGCGAGGUGAAAUAUGGUGGAAGGGGGCACCGCACAGGGCUAAGGAACGAUCACGAAGAUCAACUUGUGUGUCAUGGGGUGCCCCCUUGCCCCCGUAUAUAAAGGAGGGAGAGGGGGAGGUGCGGCCGGCCCUAGGGGUGCGCCUGGAGGAGUCCUACUCCCACCAGGAGUAGGACUCCCCCCUCUUGCCUUGUUGGAGAAGGAAAGGGGAAGGGGGAAAGAGGAAAGGGGGGCGCCGCCCCCCUUCCUUGUCCUACUCGGACUAGGGGGGGAGGGGGCGCGCGGCCUGCCCUGGCCGGCCCUCCUCUUCUCCCUUAGGGCCCAUGUAGGCCCAUUAACCCCCCCCCCCCCCCCCCCCCCCGGGGGGGGGGGGGGUUCCGGUAACCCCCGGUACUCCGGUAAAAUCCCGGUUUCACCUGGAACGUUUCCGAUGUCCAAAUAUAGGCUUCCAAUAUAUCAAUCUUUAUGUCUCGACCAUUUCGAGAGUCCUCGUCAUGUCCGUGAUCACAUCCGGGACUCCGAACAACCUUCGGUACAUCAAAACAAAAAAACCCUAAUUACGAUCAUCACCGAACUUUAAGCGUGCGGACCCUACGGGUUCGAGAACUAUGUAGACAUGACCGAGACACGUCUCCGGUCAAUAACCAAUAGCGGAACCUGGAUGCUCAUAUUGGCUCCUACAUAUUCUACGAAGAUCUUUAUUGGUCAGACCGCAUAACAACAUACGUUGUUCCCUUUGUCAUCGGUAUGUUACUUGCCCGAGAUUCGAUCAUCGGUAUAUCAAUACCUAGUUCAAUCUCGUUACCGACAAGUCUCUUUACUCGUUCCGUAAUACAUCAUCCCACAACUAACUCAUUAGUUGCAAUGCUUGCAAGGCUUAGGUGAUGUGCAUUACCAAGAGGGCCCAGAGAUACCUCUCCGACAAUCGGAGUGACAAAUCCUAAUCUCGAAAUACGCCAACCCAACAAGUACCUUCGGAGACACCUGUAGAGCACCUUUAUAAUCACCCAGUUACGUUGUGACGUUUGGUAGCACACAAAGUGUUCCUCCGGUAAACGGGAGUUGCAUAAUCUCAUAGUCAUAGGAACAUGUAUAAGUCAUGAAGAAAUCAAUAGCAACAAACUAAACGAUCAAGUGCUAUGCUAACGGAAUGGGUCAAGUCAAUCACAUCAUUCUCUAAUGAUGUGAUCACGUUAAUCAAAUGACAACUCAUAUCUAUGGCUAGGAAAAUUAACCAUCUUUGAUUCAACGAGCUAGUCAAGUAGAGGCAUACUAGUGACAUAUUGUUUGUCUAUGUAUUCACACAUGUAUUAUGUUUCCGGUUAAUACAAUUCUAGCAUGAAUAAUAAACAUUUAUCAUAAUAUAAGGAAAUAAAUAAUAACUUUAUUAUUGCCUCUAGGGCAUAUUUCCUUCAGUCUCCCACUUGCACUAGAGUCAAUAAUCUAGUUCAAAUCGCCAUGUGAUUUAACAUCAAUAGUUCACAUCACCAUGUGAUUAACACCCAUAAUUCACAUCGUCAUGUGACCAACACCCAAAGGGUUUACUAGAGUCAAUAAUCUAGUUCACAUCUCUACGUGAUUAAUACCCAAAGAGUACUAAGGUGUGAUCAUGUUUUGCUUGUGAGGGAAGUUUAGUCAACGGGUCUGCUACAUUCAGAUCCGUAUGUAUUUUGCAAAUUUCUAUGUCAACAAUGCUCUGCACGGAGCUACUCUAGCUAAUUGCUCCCACUUUCAAUAUGUAUCCAGAUUGAGACUUUGAGUCAUCUGGAUCAGUGUCAAAACUUGCAUUGACGUAACCCUUUACGACGAACCUUUUGUCACCUCCAUAAUCGAGAAACAUAUCCUUAUUCCACUAAGGAUAAUUUUGACCAAUGUCUAGUGAUCUACUCCUAGAUCACUAUUGUACUCCCUUGCCAAACUCAGGGCAGGGUAUACGAUAGGUCUGGUACACAGCAUGGAAUACUUUAUAGAACCUAUGGCUGAGGCAUAGGGAAUGACUUUCAUUCUCUCUCUAUCUUCUGCCGUGGUCGGGUUUUGAGUCUUACUCAACUUCACACCUUGUAACACAGGCAAGAACUCCUUCUUUGACCGUUCCAUUUUGAUGUACUUCAAAAUCUUGUCAAGGUAUGUACUCAUUGAAAAACUUAUCAGGCGUCUUGAUCUAUCUCUAUAGAUCUUGAUGCUCAAUAUGUAAGCAGCUUCACCGAGGUCUUUCUUUGAAAAACUCCUUUCAAACAUUCCUUUAUGCUUUGCAGAAUAAUUCUACAUUAUCUCUGAUAAACAAUAUGUCAUUCACAUAUACUUAUCAGAAAUGCUGUAGUGCUCCCACUCACUUUCUUGUAAAUACAGGCUUCACAGCAAGUCUGUAUAAAACUAUAUGCUUUGAUCAACUUAUCAAAGCGUAUAUUCCAACUCCGAGAUGCUUGCACCAGUCCAUAGAUGGAUCGCUGGAGCUUGCAUAUUUUGUUAGUACCUUUAGGAUUGACAAAACCUUCUGGUUGCAUCAUAUAAAACUCUUCUUUAAUAAAUCCAUUAAGGAAUGCAGUUUUGUUUAUCCAUUUGCCAGAUUUCAUAAAAUGCGACAAUUGCUAACAUGAUUCGGACAGACUUAAGCAUAGAUACGAGUGAGAAACUCUCAUCGUAGUCAACACCUUGAACUUGUCGAAAACCUUUUUGCGACAAUUCUAGCUUUGUAGAUAGUAACACUACUGUCAGCGUCCAUCUUCCUCUUGAAGAUCCAUUUAAUCUCAAUGGCUCACCGAUCAAUGGGAAAGUCAAUCAAAGUCCAUACUUUGUUCUCAUACAUGGAUCUCAUCUCAGAUUUCAUGGCCUCAAGCCAUUUCGCGGAAUCUGGGCUCAUCAUUGCUUCCUCAUAGUUCGUAGGCUCGUCAUGGUCAAGUAACAUGACCUCUAGAACAGGAUUACUGUACCACUCUGGUGCAGAUCUCACUCUGGUUUACCUACGAGGUUCGGUAGCAACUUGAUCUGAAGUUACAAGAUCAUCAUCAUUAGCUUCCUCACUAAUUGGUGUAGUAGUCACAGGAACAUAUUUCUGUGAUGAACUACUUUCCAAUAAGGGAGCAGGUACAGUUACCUCAUCAAGUUCUACUUUCCUCCCACUCACUUCUUUCGAGAGAAACUCCUUCUCUAGAAAGGAUCCAUUCUCAUCAACGAAUAUCUUGCCUUCGGAUCUGUGAUAGAAGGUGUACCCAACAUUUUAUUUUUGGGUAUCCUAUGAAGACGCACUACUCCGAUUUGGGUUUGAGCUUAUCAGGUUGAAACUUUUUCACAUAAGCAUUGCAACCUCAAACUUUAAGAAACGACAGCUUAGGUUUCUUGCCAAACCAUAGUUCAUAUGGUGUCAUCUCAACGGAUUUAGAUGGUGCCCUAUUUAACGUGAAUGCAGCUGUCUCUAAUGCAUAACCCCAAAACGAUAGUGGUAGAUCAGUAAGAGACAUCAUAGAUCGCACCAUAUCUAAUAAAGUACGGUUAUGUCGUUCGGACACACCAUUACACUGUGGUGUUCCAGGUGGCGUGAGUAGUGAAACUAUUUCACAUUGUUUUAACUGAAGGCCAAACUCUUAACUCAAAUAUUUUACCUCUGCGGUCAUAUCGUAGAAACUUUUAUUUUCUCGUUAUGAUGAUUCUCCACUUCACUCUGAAAUUCUUUGAACUUUUCAAAUGUUUCAGACUUGUGUUUCAUUAAGUAGAUAUACACAUAUUCUGCUCAAAUCAUCUGUGAAGGUCAGAAAAUAACGAUACUUGCCGUGAGCCUUAACACUCAUCGGACCGCAUACAUCAAUAUGUAUUAUUUCCAAUAAGUCAGUUGAUCGCUCCAUUGUUCCGGAGAACGGAGUCUUAGUCAUCUUGCCCAUGAGGCAUGGUUCGCAAGCAUCAAGUGAUUCAUAAUCAAGUGAUUCCAAAAGUCCAUCAGCAUGGAGUUUCUUCAUGCGCUUUACACCAAUAUGACCUAAACGGCAGUGCCACAAAUAAGUUGCACUAUCAUUAUUAACUUGAAUCUUUUGGUUUCAAUAUUAUGAAUAUGUGUAUCACUACGAUCGAGAUCCAACAAACCAUUUUCAUUGGGUGUGUAACCAUAUAAGGUUUUAUUCAUGUAAACAGAACAACAAUUUAUUCUCUUACUUAAAUGAAUAACCGUAUUGCAAUAAACAUGAUCAAAUCAUAUUCAUGCUCAACGCAAACAUCAAAUAACACUUAUUUAGGUUCAACACUAAUCAUGAAAGUAUAGGGAGUGUGUGAUGAUGACCAUAUCAAUCUUGGAACCACUUCCAACACACAUCGUCACUUCAUCCUUAACUAGUCUCUGUUCAUUCUGCAACUCCUGUUUCGAGUUACUACUCUUAGCAACUGAACCAGUAUCAAAUACUGAGGGGUUGCUAUGAACACUAGUAAAAUACACAUCAAUAAUCUGUAUAUCAAAUAUACCUUUGUUCACUUUGCCAUCCUUCUUAUCCGCCAAAUACUUGGGGCAGUUCCGCUUCCAGUGACCAGUCCCUUUGCAGUAGAAGCACUUAGUCUCAGGCUUAGGACCAGACUUGGGCUUCUUCACUUGAGCAACAACUUGCUUGCCAUUCUUCUUGAAGUUCCCCUUCUUGAAACUAGUUUUCUUGAAACUAGUUUUCUUGAAACUAGUCUACCAUCAACACUUGAUAUUUUUCUUGAUUUCUACCUUCGUUGAUUUCAGCAUUACGAAGAGCUUGGGAAUCGUUUCCGUUAUCCCUUGCAUAUCAUAGUUCAUCACGAAGUUCUACUAACUUGGUGAUGGUGACUAGAGAAUUCUGUCAAUCACUAUCUUAUCUGGAAGAUUAACUCCCACUUCAUUCAAGCGAUUGUAAUACCCAGACAAUCUGAGUACAUGCUCACUGCUUGAGCUAUUCUCCUGCAUCUUUUAGCUAUAGAACUUGUUGGAGACUUCACAUCUCCCAACUCGGGUACUUGCUUGAAAUAUUAACUUCAACUCCUGGAACAUCUCAUAUGGUCCAUGACGUUCAAAACGUCUUUGAAGUCCUGAUUCUAAGCCGUUUAAGCAUGGUACACUAAACUAUAAAGUAGUCAUCAUAUUGAGCUAGCCAAACGUUCAUAACAUCUGCAUCUGCUCCUGCAAUAGGUUUGUCACCUAGCGGUGCAUCAAGAACAUAAUUCUUCUGUGCAGCAAUGAGGAUAAACCUCAGAUCACGGAUCCAAUCCGCAUCAUUGCUACUAACAUCUUUCAACUUAGUUUUCUCUAGGAACAUAUCAAAAUAAAAUAGGGGAGCUAAAUGCGAGCUAUUGAUCUACAACAUAGAUAUGCUAAUACUACCAGGACUAAGUUCAUGAUAAAUUUAAGUUCAAUUAAUCAUAUUACUUAAGAACUCCCACUUAGAUAGACAUCCCUCUAAUCCUCUAAGUGAUCAAGUGAUCCAGAUCAACUAAACCAUGUCCGAUCAUCACGUGAGAUGGAGAAGUUUCAAUGGUGAACAUCACUAUGUUGAUCAUAUCUACUAUAUGAUUGACGCUCGACCUUUCAGUCUCCGUGUUCCAAGGCCAUAUCUGUUAUAUGCUAGGCUCGUCAAGUUUAACCUGAGUAUUCUGCGUGUGCAACUGUUUUGCACCUGUUGUAUUUGAACGUAGAGCCUAUCACACCCGAUCAUCACGUGGUGUCUCAGCACGAAGAACUUUCGCAACGGUGCAUACUCAGGGAGAACACUUAUACCUUGAUAAUUUAGUGAGAGAUCAUCUUAUAAUGCUACCGUCAAUCAAAGCAAGAUAAGAUGCAUAAAAAAUAAACAUCACAUGCAAUCAAUAUAAGUGAUAUGAUACGACCAUCAUCAUCUUGUACUUGUGAUCUCCAUCUCCGAAGUACCGUUAUGAUCACCAUCGUCACCGGCGCGACACCUUGAUCUCCAUCGUAGCAUCGUUGUCGUAUCGCCAAUCUUAUGCUUCCACGACUAUCGCUACCGCUUAGUGAUAAAGUAAAGCAUUACAGCGCGAUUGCAUUGCAUACAAUAAAGCGACAACCAUAUGGCUCCUGCCAGUUGCCGAUAACUCGGUUACAAAACAUGAUCAUCUCAUACAAUAAAAUUUAGCAUCAUGUCUUGACCAUAUCACAUCACAACAUGCCCUGCAAAAAACAAGUUAGACAUCCUCUACUUUGUUGUUGCAAGUUUUAUGUGGCUGCUAUGGGCUUAGCAAGAACCGUUCUUACCUACGCAUCAAAACCACAAUGAUAGUUUGUCAAGUUGCUGCUGUUUUAACCUUCGCAAGGACCGGGCGUAGCCACACUCGGUUCAACCAAUGUUGGAGAAACUGACACCCGCCAGCCACAUGUGUGCAAAGCACGUCGGUAGAACCAGUCUCGCGUAAGCGUACGCGUAAUGUCGGUCCGGGCCGCUUCAUCCAACAAUACCGCCGAACCAAAGUAUGACAUGCUGGUAAGCAGUAUGACUUAUAUCGCCCACAACUCACUUGUGUUCUACUCGUGCAUAACAUCAACGCAUAAAAUCUGGCUGGGAUGCCACUGUUGGGGAAUGUAGUAAUUUCAAAAAAUUUCCUACGCACACACAAGAUCAUGGUGAUGCAUAGCAACGAGAGGGGAGAGUGUUGUCUAUGUACCCUCAUAGACCGGCAACGGAAGCGUUGACACAACGUGGAGGAAGUAGUCGCACGUCUUCCCGAUCCGAUCGAUCCAAGUACCGAACGUACGGCACCUCCGAGUUCUGCACACAUUCAACUCGGUGAUGUCCCUCGAGCUCCGAUCCAGCAGAGUGUUGAGGGAGAGUUUCGUCAACACGACGGCGUGAUGACGGUGAUGAUGUUCUACCGACGCAGGGCUUCGCCUAAGCACCGCUACGAUAUGACCGAGGUGGAAUAUGUGUUGGGGAACGUAGCAGAAAUUCAAAAAUUUUCCUACGUGUCACCAAGAUCUAUCUAUGCAGAAACCAGCAACGAGGGGAAGGAGAGUGUAUCUACAUACCCUUGUAGAUCGCUACGCGGAAGCGUUCAAGAGAACGGGGUUGAUGGAGUCGUAUUCGUCGUGAUCCAAAUCACCGAUGAUCCUAGUGCCAAACAGACGGCACCUCCGUGUUCAACACACGUACAGCCCGGUGACGUCUCCCAUGCCUUGAUCCAGCAAGGAGAGAGGGAGAGGUUGAGGAAGACUCCAUCCAGCAGCAUCACAACGGCGUGGUGGUGGUGGAGGAGCGUGGUACUCCAGCAGGGCUUCGCCAAGCAUCGCAAGAGACGAGGAGGGAGAGGGGUAGGGCUGCGCCAAGAAGGAGAGGAACUCAUGUGUCUUGGGCAGCCCAAACCUCAAGUAUAUAUAGGGGGAGGGGAAGGGCUGCGCCCCCACCUAGGUUUCCACCCCUAGGGGUGGCGGACAGCCUAGAUCCCAUCUAGGGGAGGCGGCCAAGGGGGAAGAGAGGGGGGCGCACCACUAGGUGGGCCUUAGGCCCAUCUGAGCCUAGGGCUUGCCCCCUUCCACUCUCCCUUGAGCCUUGGGCCUUGGUGGUGGGGGGGGGGGCGCACCAGCCCACCCGGGGCUGGUCCCCUCCCACACUUGGCCCAUGCAGCCCUCCGGGGCUGGUGGCCCCACUUGGUGGACCCCCGGGAACCUCCCGGUGGUCCCGGUACGUUACCGAUAAACCCCGAAACUUUUCCGGCGACCAAAACAGGACUUCCCAUAUAUAAAUCUUUACCUCCGGACCAUUCCGGAACUCCUCGUGACGUCCGGGAUCUCAUCCGAGACUUCGAACAACAUUCUGUAACCACGUAUAUCUAUUCCCUAUAACCCUAGCGUCAUCGAACCUUAAGUGUGUAGACCCUACGGGUUCGGGAACCAUGCAGACAUGACCGAGACAUUCUCCGGUCAAUAACCAACAGCAGGAUCUGGAUACCCAUGUUGGUUCCCACAUGUUCCACGAUGAUCUCAUCGGAUGAACCACGAUGUCGAGGAUUCGAUCAAUCCCGUAUACAAUUCCCUUUGUCUAGCGGUAUGAUACUUGCCCGAGAUUCGAUCGUCGGUAUACCGAUACCUUGUUCAAUCUCAUUACUGGCAAGUCUCUUUACUCGUUCUGUAACACAUCAUCCCAUGAUCAACUCCUUGAUCACAUUGUGCAAAUUAUGAUGAUGUCCUACCGAGUGGGCCCAGAGAUACCUCUCCGUCACACGGAGUGACAAAUCCCAGUCUCGAUUCGUGCCAACCCAACAGACACUUUCGGAGAUACCCGUAGUGCACCCUUAUAGCCACCCAGUUACGUUGUGACGUUUGGCACACCCAAAGUAUUCCUACGGUAUCCGGGAGUUGCACAAUCUCAUGGUCUAAGGAAAUGAUACUUGACAUUAGAAAAGCUUUAGCAUACGAACUACACGAUCUUUGUGCUAGGCUUAGGAUUGGGUCUUUCCAUCACAUCAUUCUCCCAAUGAUGUGAUCCCGUUAUCAACGACAUCCAAUGUACAUGGUCAGGAAACUAUAACCAUCUAUUGAUCAACGAGCUAGUCAACUAGAGGCUUACUAGGGACAUGGUGUUGUCUAUGUAUCCACACAUGUAUCUGAGUUUCCUAUCAAUACAAUUCUAGCAUGGAUAAUAAACGAUGAUCAUGAACAAGGAAAUAUAAUAAUAAUCAAUUUAUUAUUGCCUCUAGGGCAUAUUUCCAACAGUCUCCCACUUGCACUAGAGUCAAUAAUCUAGUUCACAUCACCAUGUGAUUAACACUCACAGGUCACAUCGCCAUGUGACCAACACCCAAAGAGUUUACUAGUGUCACUAAACUAGUUCACAUCAUCAUGUGAUUAAGACUCAAUGAGUUCUGGGGUUUGAUCAUGUUUUGCUUGUGAGAGAGGUUUCAGUCAACGGGUCUGCAACAUUCAGAUCCGUAUGUACUUUGCAAAUCUCUAGGUCAUAUUAUAAAUGCUGCUUCCACGCUCCACUUGGAGCUAUUCCAAAUGGUUGCUCCACUAUACGUAUCCGGUUUGCUACUCAGAGUCAUUUGGAUAGGUGUUAAAGCUUGCAUCGAUGUAACCCCUUACGCCGAACUCUUUAUCACCUCCAUAAUCGAGAAACAUGUCCUUAUUACUCCAAGGAUAAUUUUUGACCGCUAUCUAGUGAUCCACUCCUGGAUCACCUUUGUACCCUCUUGCCAGACAUGUGGCAAGGCACACAUCAGGUGCGGUACUCAGCAUGGCAUACCGUAUAGAGCCUAUGACAAAAGCAUAGGGGACGACCUUCAUCCUUCCUCUUUCUUCUGCCAUGGUCGAGCUUUAAGUCUUAACUUCAUACCUUACAACUCAGGCAAGAACUCCUUCUUUGACUGAUCCAUCUUGAACACCUUCAAGAUCAUGUCAAGGUAUGUGCUCAUUAAGCGUUUUGAUCUAUCCUUAUAGAUCUUGAUGCUCAAUGUUCAAGUAGCUUAAUCCAGGCUUUCCAUUGAAAAACACUUUCCAAAUAACCCUAUAUGCUUUCCAGAAAUUCUAUGUCAUUUCUGAUCAACAAUAUGUCAACAACAUAUACUCAUCAGAAAUUCUAUAGUGCUCCCACUCACUUCUUUGGAAAUACAAGUUUCUCAUAAACUUUGUAUACACCCAAAAUCUUUGAUCAUCUCAUCAAAGCAUACAUUCCAACUCCGAGAUGCUUACUCCAGUCCUUAGAAGGAUUGCUGGAGCUUUGCAUACUUAUUAGCAUCUUUCAGGAUUGACAAAACCUUCCGGUUGUAUCACAUACAACCUUUCCUCAAGAAAAUCGUCGAGGAAACAAUGUUUGACAUCCUAUCUACAAGAUUUCAUAAAUAAUGCUAAUAUAAUUCCAACAGACUCUUAGCAUCACUACGAGUGAGAAAGUCUCAUCGUAGUCAACUCCUUGAACUUGUCGGAAAACAUCUUAACGACAAGUCAAGCUUUCUUGAUGGUGAUACUUACAAUCAUUGUCCGUCUUCCUUUUAAAAUCCAUAUGUACCUAACAGCCUUACGACCAUCAAGUAGUUCUUCCAAAGUCUACACUUUGUUUUCAUAUAUGGAUCCUCUCUCAGAUUAUAUGGCCUCGAGCCAUUUUGGAAUCCAGGCCCACCAUCGCUUCUCCAUAGCUCGUAGGUUCAUUGUUGUCUAGCAACAUGACUUCCAAGACAGGAUUACGUACCACUCUGAAGUAGUACGCAUCCUUGUCAUCCCACGAGGUUUGGUAGUGACUUGAUCUGAAGUUUCAUGAUCACUAUCAUAAGCUUCCACCUCAAUUGGUGUAGGUGCCACAGGAACAACUCCCUGUGCCCUGCCACACACUAGUUGAAGAGACGGUUCAAUAACCUCAUCAAGUCUUCACCAUCCUCCCACUCAAUUCUUUCGAGAGAAACUUUUCCUCGAGAAAGGACCCGAUUCUAGAAACAAUCCCUUAUUGCUUUCGGAUCUGAGACAGGAGGUAUACCCAACUGUUUUUGGUGUCCUAUGAAGAUGCAUUUAUCCGCUUUGGGUUCGAGCUUAUCAACCUAAUUUUUCUUUCACAUAAGCGUUGCAGCCCCAAACUUUUAAGAAAUGACAACUUAGGUUUCUCUAAACCAUAGUUCAUACGGUGUCAUCUCAUCGGAAUGACGUGGUGCCCUAUUUAAAGUGAAUGUGGUUGUCUCUAAUGCCUAACCCAUAGACUAUCGUGGUAAUUCGAUAAGAGACAUCAUGGUAUGCAUCAUAUCCAAUAGGGUGCAGUUAUGAUGUUCGGACACACCAUCACACUAUGGUGUUCCAGGCUGUAUUAGUUGUGAAACAAUUUCCACAAUGUCUUAAUUCUGUGCCAAACUCGUAAUUCAGAUAUUCAUCUCUAUGAUCAUAUCAUAGAAAUUUUAUCCUCUUGUCACGAUGAUCUUUCAACUUCACCCUGAAAUUACUUGAACCUUUCAACAAUUCAGACUCGUGAUUCAUCAAGUAAAUAUACUCAACAUCUACUCAAAUCAUCUGUGAAGUAAGAACAUAACGAUAUCCACUACACGCCUCAGCACUCAUUGGACUGCACACAUCAAAAUGUAUUACUUCCAACAAGUUGCUUUCUAGUUCCAUUUUACUGAAAACAAGGCUUUCAGUCAUCUUGCCCAUGUGGUAUGAUUUGCAUGUCUCAAGUGAUUCAAAAUCAAGUGAGUCCAAACGGUCCAUUUGCAUGGAGUUUCUUCAUGCAUAUACACCAAUAGACAUGGUUCGCAUGUCUCAAACUUUUCAAAACGAGUGAUCCCAAAGAUCCAUCAACAUGGAGCUUCUUCAUGCGUUUUAUACCAAUAUGACUUACGUGGCAGUGCCACAAGUAGAUGGUACCAUCAUUACUAUCUUAUAUCUUUUGGCAUGAACAUGUGUAUCACUACGAUCGAGAUUCAAUAUUCAUUUUAGGUGCAAGACCAUUGAAGGUAUUAUUCAAAUAAACAGAGUAACCAUUAUUCUCCUUAAAUGAAUAACCGUAUUGCGAUAGACAUAAUCCAAUCAUGUCUAUGCUCAACGCAAACACCAAUCUCGAUGGUAGAGGGAGCGUGCUAUGCUUGAUCACAUCAAGCUUGGAAAAACUUCCAACACAUAUUGCCAGCUCACCUUUAGCUAGUCUCCGUUUACUCCGCAGCCUUUUAUUUCGAGUUUACUAACAUUUAGCAACCGAACCGGUAUCUAAUACCAUGGUGCUACUAGGAGUACUAGUAAAGUACACAUUAACACAAUGUAUAUCCAAUAUACUUUUAUCGACCUUGCCAGCCUUCUCAUCUACCAAGUAUCUAGGGUAAUUCUGCUCCAGUGGCUGUUCCCCUUAUUACAGAAGCACUUAGUCUCGGGUUUGGGUUCAACCUUGGGUUUCUUCACUAGAGCAGCAGCUGAUUUGCUGUUUCAUGAAGUAUCCCUUUUUGCCCUUGCCCUUCUUGAAACUAGUGGUUUCACCAACCAUCAACAAUUGAUGCUCCUUCUUGAUUUCUACUUUUGUGGUGUCAAACAUCACGAAUAUCUCAAGGAUCAUCAUAUAUGUCCCUGAUAUAUUAUAGUUCAUCACGAAGCUCUAGUAGCUUGGUGGUAAUGCGUUCGGAGAAACAUCACUGUCUCAUCUGGAAGAUCAACUCCCACUCGAUUCAAAUGAUUGUUGUACUCAGACAAUCUGAGCACAAGCUCAACAAUUGAGCUUUUCUCCCUUAGUUUGCAGGCUAAGAAAAUCGUCGGAGGUCUUAUACCUCUUGACGUGGGCACGAGCCUGAAAUCCCAAUUUCAGCCCUCGAAACAUCUCAUAUGUUUCGUGACAUUUAAAAACGUCUUCGGUGCCUCAACUCUAAACCGUUUAACUGAACUAUCAUGUAUUUAUCAAAAUGUGUAUGUCAGAUGUUCGCAACAUCCACAGACGACGUUUGAGGUUCAGCACACUGAGCGAUGCAUUAAGGACAUAAGCCUUUUAUGAAGCAAUGAGGACAAUCCUCAGUUUACGGACCUAGUCCGCAUAAUUGCUACUAUCAACUUUCAACUAAAUUUUCUCUAGGAACAUAUCUAAAUAGUAGAACUGAAGCGGGAGUUACGACAUAAUUUGCGAAGACCUUUUGACUAUGUUCAGGAUAAUUAAGUUCAUCUUAUGAACUCCCACUCAGAUAGACAUCCCUCUAGUCAUCUAAGUGAUUACAUGAUCCGAGUCAACUAGGCCGUGUCCGAUCAUCACGUGAGACGGACUAGUCAUCAUCGGUGAACAUCUUCAUGUUGAUCGUAUCUACCAUACGACUCAUGUUCGACCUUUCGGUCUCUUGUGUUCCGAGGCAAUGUCUGUACAUGCUAGGCUUGUCAAGUCAACCUAAGUGUUUCGCGUGUGUAAAUCUGUCUUACACCCGUUGUAUGUGAACGUUAGAAUCUAUCACACCCGAUCAUCACGUGGUGCUUCGAAACAACGAACUGUCGCAACGGUGCACAGUUAGGGGGAACACUUUCUUGAAAUUAUUAUGAGGGAUCAUCUUAUUUACUACCAUCGUUCUAAGUAAACAAGAUGCAAAAACAUGAUAAACAUGACAUGCAAUCAAAUAAUAGUGACAUGAUAUGGCCAAUAUCAUAUAGCUCCUUUGAUCUCCAUCUUGGGGCUCCAUGAUCAUCUUGUCACCGGCAUGACACCAUGAUCUCCAUCAUCAUGAUCUCCAUCAUCGUGUCUCCAUGAAGUUGCUCGCCAACUAUUACUUCUACUAAUAUGGCUACCGGUUAGCAAUAAAGUAAAGUAAUUACAUGGCGUUGUUCAAUGACACACAUGUCAUACAAUAAAUAAAGACAACUCCUAUGGCUCCUGCCGGUUGUCAUACUCAUCGACAUGCAAGUCGUGAUUCCUAUUACAAGAACAUGAUCAAUCUCUUACAUCACAUAUAUCAUUCAUCACAUCCUUUUGGCCAUAUCACAUCACAUGGCAUACCCUGCAAAAACAAGUUAGACGUCCUCUAAUUGUUGUUUGCAUGUUUUACGUGGCUGCUAUGGGUUUCUAGCAAGAACGUUUCUUACCUACGCAAAAACCACAACGUGAUAUGCCAAUUGCUAUUUACCCUUCAUAAGGACCCUUUUCAUCAAAUCCGAUCCGACUAAAGUGGGAGAGACAGACACCCGCUAGCCACCUUAUGCAACUAGUGCAUGUCAGUCGGUGGAACCAGUCUCACGUAAGAGUACGUGUAAGGUCGGUCCAGGCCGCUUCAUCCCACAAUGCCGCCGAAUCAAGAUUGGACUAGUAACGGUAAGCAUAUUGAACAAAAUCAACGCCCACAACUACUUUGUGUUUUACUCGUUCAUAGAAUCUACGCAAUAGACCUAGCUCAUGAUGCCACUGUUGGGGAACGUAGCAGAAAUUCAAAAAAUUUCCUACGUGUCACCAAGAUCUAUCUAUGGAGAAACCAGCAACGAGGGGAAGGAGAGUGCAUCUACAUACCCUUGUAGAUCGCUACGCGGAUGCGUUCAAGAGAACGGGGUUGAUGGAGUCGUACUCGUCGUGAUCCAAAUCACCGAUGAUCCUAGUGCCGAAUGGACGGCACCUCCGUGUUCAACACACGUACAGCCCGUUGACGUCUCCCAUGCCUUAAUCCAGCAAGGAGAGAGGGAGAGGUUGAGGAAGACUCCAUCCAGCAGCAGCACAACGGCGUGGUGGUGGUGGAGGAGCGUGGUACUCCAGCAGGGCUUCGCCAAGCAUCGCAAGAGACGAGGAGGGAGAGGGGUAGGGCUGCGCCAAGAAGGAGAGGAACUUAUGUGUCUUGGGCAGCCCAAACCUCAAGUAUAUAUAGGGGGAGGGGAGGGGCUGCGCCCCCACCUAGGUUUCCACCCCUAGGGGUGGCGGCCAGCCUAGAUCCCAUCUAGGGGAGGCGGCCAAGGGGGAAGAAAGGGGGGCGCACCACUAGGUUGGCCUUAGGCCCAUCCGAGCCUAGGGUUUGCCCCCUUCCACUCUCCCUUGAGCCUUGGGCCUUGGUGGGGGGGGGGCACACCAGCCCACCUGGGGCUGGUCCCCUCCCACACUUGGCCCAUGCAGCCCUCCGGGGCUGGUGGCCCCACUUGGUGGACCCCCGGGAACCUCCCGGUGGUCCCGGUACGUUAUCGACAAACCCCGAAACUUUUCCGGCGACCAAAACAGGACUUCCCAUAUAUAAAUCUUUACCUCCGGACCAUUCUGGAACUCCUCGUGACGUCCAGGAUCUCAUCCGGGACUCCGAACAACAUUCAGUAACCACGUAUAUCUAUUCCCUAUAACCCUAGAGUCAUCGAACCUUAAGUGUGUAGACCCUACGUGUUCGGGAACCAUGCAGACAUGACCGAGACGUUCUCCGAUCAAUAACCAACAGCGGGAUCUGGAUACCCAUGUUGGUUCCCACAUGUUCCACGAUGAUCUCAUCGGAUGAACCACGAUGUCGAGGAUUCGAUCAAUCCCGUAUACAAUUCCCUUUGUCUAGCGGUAUGAUACUUGCCCGAGAUUCGAUCGUCGGUAUACCGAUACCUUGUUCAAUCUCAUUACUGGCAAGUCUCUUUACUCGUUCUGUAACACAUCAUCCCAUGAUCAACUCCUUGAUCACAUUGUGCAAAUUAUGAUGAUGUCCUACCGAGUGGGCCUAGAGAUACCUCUCCGUCACACGGAGUGACAAAUCCCAGUCUCGAUUCGUGCCAACCCAACAGACACUUUCGGAGAUACCCGUAGUGCACCUUUAUAGCCAUCCAGUUACGUUGUGACGUUUGGCACACCCAAAGUAUUCCUACGGUAUCCGGGAGUUGCACAAUCUCAUGGUCUAAGGAAAUGAUACUUGACAUUAGAAAAGCUUUAGCAUACGAACUACACGAUCUUUGUGCUAGGCUUAGGAUUGGGUCUUGUCCAUCACAUCAUUCUCCCAAUGAUGUGAUCCCGUUAUCAACGACAUCCAAUGUCCAUGGUCAGGAAACCGUAACCAUCUAUUGAUCAACGAGCUAGUCAACUAGAGGCUUACUAGGGACAUGGUGUUGUCUAUGUAUCCACACAUGUAUCUGAGUUUCCUAUCAAUACAAUUCUAGCAUGGAUAAUAAAUGAUUAUCAUGAACAAGGAAAUAUAAUAAUAAUCAAUUUAUUAUUGCCUCUAGGGCAUAUUUCCAACAAUAUGGUGGAAGGGGGCACCGCACACGGCUAAGGAACGAUCACGAAGAUCAACUUGUGUGUCAUGGGGUGCCCCCUUGCCCCCGUAUAUAAAGGAGGGAGAGGGGGAGGUGCGGCCGGCCCUAGGGGUGCGCCUGGAGGAGUCCUACUCCCACCGGGAGUAGGACUCCCCCUCUUGCCUUGUUGGAGAAGGAAAGGGGAAGGGGGAAAGAGGAAAGGGGGGCGCCGCCCCCCCUCCUUGUCCUAUUCGGACUAGGGGGGAGGGGGCGCACGGCCUGCCCUGGUCGGCCCUCGUCUUCUCCCUUAGGGCCCAUGUAGGCCCAUUAACCCACCCCCCCCCCCCCGGGGGGGGGGGGGUUCCGGUAACUCUCGGUACUCCGGUAAAAUCCCGAUUUCACCCGGAACGUUUCCGAUAUCCAAAUAUAUGCUUCCAAUAUAUCAAUCUUUAUGUCUCGACCAUUUCGAGACUCCUCGUCAUGUCCGUGAUUACAUCCGGGACUCCGAACAACCUUCAGUAUAUCAAAACACAAAAACCCUAAUUACGAUCGUCACCGAACUUUAAGCGUGCGGACCCUACGAGUUCGAGAACUAUGUAGACAUGACCGAGACACGUCUCCGGUCAAUAACCAAUAGCGGAACCUGGAUGCUCAUAUUGGCUCCUACAUAUUCUACGAAGAUCUUUAUCGGUCAGACCGCAUAACAACAUACGUUGUUCCCUUUGUCAUCGGUAUGUUACUUGCCCGAGAUUCGAUCGUCGGUAUAUCAAUACCUAGUUCAAUCUCGUUACCGACAAGUCUCUUUACUCGUUCCGUAAUACAUCAUCCCGCAACUAACUCAUUAGUUGCAAUGCUUGCAAGGCUUAGGUGAUGUGCAUUACCGAGAGGGCCCAGAGAUACCUCUCCGACAAUCGGAGUGACAAAUCCUAAUCUCGAAAUACGCCAACCCAACAAGUACCUUCGGAGACACCUGUAGAGCACCUUUAUAAUCACCCUGUUACGUUGUGACGUUUGGUAGCACACAAAGUGUUCCUCCGGUAAACGGGAGUUGCAUAAUCUCAUAGUCAUAGGAACAUGUAUAAGUCAUGAAGAAAGGAAUAGCAAAAAACUAAACGAUCAAGUGCUAUGCUAAUGAAAUGGGUCAAGUCAAUCACAUCAUUCUCUAAUGAUGUGACCCCGUUAAUCAAAUGACAACUCAUGUCUAUGGCUAGGAAACUUAACCAUCUUUGAUUCAACGAGCUAGUCAAGUAGAGGCAUACUAGUGACAUAUUGUUUGUCUAUGUAUUCACACAUGUAUUAUGUUUCCGGUUAAUACAAUUCUAGCAUGAAUAAUAAACAUUUAUCAUGAUAUAAGGAAAUAAACAAUAACUUUAUUAUUGCCUCUAGGGCAUAUUUCCUUCAUCAUUAUCUCAGGAGACAUCCUCCUCCUAAAGGAGGAUAUUUGAUUCAACAAAUCAAUUCUGUCAACAGUGCAAUCUUGUUCAACACAUAUUUCAAAAAGCAAAGGAAAUUUCUCUUUAAAGGGAGUCCUACCCUCCAGUUCAUCGAACCGGAGCCUGACCACAUCCCCCCUAUUCAAUUUGACACCCCUGCCCAGCAUAUACAAGUAUUUCACUUUCAAAAGGGAUUUCCAACAUGGUGAGUCAUUGUUUUUUGCCUUCACCAUGGCCACCGAAGUUUUCUUCAAGUAUUUGCCUUAACUAUUUCUUGCCAGAGACCUUUAUUUUUAUCCAGUUUACACCACCACUUCACCAGCAAACUAAUAUUUUGUUUUCUCAAGUCUUUAACCCCAAGGUCAUCCUCAAAACACAAAAUUGUUCAUUCACAUACUGUAAAAUAACUACUCCAUUUGAAAUCAGGUCAGAGGCCGGACCUUUGAAUAAGCCAUUUUGUUAAGCUUUAAGCACCAUCUUAGUCAAACAAUCAACAACUAAAUUAACGAGAAAAGGCGAGAAUAGGUCCCCUUGCGCACCCCUUUCGAGCUUUGAAAGUAAGGACCCACCUCAUCAUUCAGCUUCACACUAACCAUACCUCCCACUAGGAUUUUUCUGACCCAUUCAUUCCAUUGCGGAUGAAAUUCUCUCAUUUUGUGGCAAUCUAGCAGGAAAUCCCAGUUAAAUUUGUCAUAUGCCUUUUCAAAAUCUAGCUUCAACACAAUCCCAGGUUUCUUCCUACUGUAAGUGUGAUGGAGGAUUUCAUGUAGAGACAUGAUCCCAUCCAUGAUGUCUUGCUUUUUAAUAAAAGCAUUCUGAUGUCUACUGAAAAGUGUAUCAACAAAAGGUUCUAGUCUAAUAGUAAGCACUUUAGUAAUCAGUUUAUAGAUGCACCGAAGCAAGCAUAUGGGGCGAAACUGUUGUAUUUUAUUUGCUCCAACAAUCUUAGGCAACAGAGUUAAAAUCCCAUAAUUCAAACGUUGCACAUCAAGUUUAUUAUCAUGGAACCAGUCAAAUAAUAACAUCACUUCACCCUUAACUACCUCCCAACAGUGUUGGAAGAAUUCGAUGGGGAUAUUAUCUGGACCUGGUGCUUUAUUGGGUUUCAUGGAGAAUAGGGCAUUCUUAAUUUCUGUUUCAGAAAAGGGUUUAGUAAGGAUAAGGUUAUCAAUGUUUGACAAUUUCUCAUUUGAUUCUCACAUAUUCUCCCUCAUUUUGCAUAAAUUCCCCGCUGCUGGCCCAAAGAGGUCCUUAUAAAAUUCUGUAGCAUGUUUCAAGAGAUUGUUGGUCCCCUCAAUCACCUCAUGCCCGCAACUAAGAGAGAAGAUAGUAUUUCUCGGUCUUCUCCCAUUCACUAUUCUAUGAAAAUAGUCAGUGUUUCUGUCCCCUUUCAAUAGCCAGUUUUCAUGAGAUUUUUGCAUCCCAGCAACCUCCUCUUCCACUAGUAUGUUGUAUAACUCUACCAGUAUAUCAACCUUUUUCUCAUAUAAUUCAAGGGAUAGUACAUCUGUUUCUUCCAAUUUUUCUAGAUGUUCUAACUCCUCUCUAAGUUCACUCCUCCUCUUUCUGGAUUUUCCAAAUAAAUUUGGCCCCCAUCCUUUGAAAAUUUUCUUAAAUCUCUUCAAUUUAAUGUUCAAAAUGUCAAUAGGGUCCUUUGAUUUGACAGGUUUCAUCCACACCUUAGCAACUAAGGGUAUAAACUCAGGAUUUUUAAGCCAGUUAAGAUCAAAUCUAAAAUCUCUUUUUCUAAAUGAAUUAGGGAUAAAGUCUUCAGUGUUCAAGAUCAAGGGGCUAUGAUAUGAGAUUUCUCUGACUAGCUUUCUGACAAAGGUUAGAGGAAAUUGCUUUUUCCAAGAACUGGACAUAAGUAUUCGGUCCAACUUUUCAAGGGUAAGUUUUUGCUGAUUGUUAGACCAUGUAUAAAGACCCCAUUCAUAUCAACUUCCCUAAGACAGAAAGUAUUAAUGAUGGAGUUAAAGAGAUCAGAGGCAUGGCUUGUCCUGGUUUUCUUAUUUUUCUCACUAGCAUAUCUCAGAAUAUUAAAGUCACCACCCACAAUGUAAGGGCAAGCAAUAUUCUUACACACAUUAGAGAGCUCAGUCAAAAACUCUAUUUUAUGCUCCUCGUGAGCAUACCCAUAGACCACUAGCAUACAAUAGUUCAACUUUUUACUCUUAUCCCACACCUCAAUUUUCAUGAUAUAUUUUCCUGCCUCACAUGUUCUAAUAUCAAAGGUAUCUUUCUUAGUACCACACAAAAUCCCCCUAGAUUUGCCCACUGAGGGGAUCCAAUUCCACUCAAAACAAUCUCCUGGAUCAAUUUUCCUCAAGAAUUUAGAGGAAAAAUCCUUUUUCAUUGUUUCCCGGAAAGCAACAAAAUCCAAGCAGUAUUCUCUAAUCAAGUCAGAUAAGCAAGUUGCCAUACCUCUAUUCCCUACACCCCUACAGUUCCAGAAAAGGCUAAUCAUUUUUUCUUGCAUUUUGGAGAGUGGUUAUUGUUGCUAGGUUUACCAGGGGGCAUGGCUGAACCAGCAUCAGAACACACUUUGUUUUUUAGACUUCUAGUCACAGGUUUAGAUAUAACUACAUUAACCUUCUUUUUUUCUUUCCUUCUAGAUCUAACAGCAGUAAACUCGUCCUCAUCAAUCUCACCAUCCCUCACCCAAUCAAUGUUUAAGGGAGAUUUACCACCAGCAGCAUUAGUAAUAAACAACAUUUUAUCUUGUUGUUUCUCUAUAUGUUCAUUUUUCUCAGCUAUGUUAGCUCUAGAUUUUUCCAUUUCCCUAAUCACAUCAACAACAGUAAAAUUGUUGUCAGGGAUAUCAACUCCCAUCUUUGUAGCAGUAUCAACAAUCUCUAAAUUUGAAAGAAUUUAAAAAUAAUUGGAAAUUGAGUUUUUCUCAUUGCCUCGAAAGUUUCUCUUCCUGGUCAAUUUUUCAGCCCGGACUCCCAUAUGCUCGAUAUUUCCACCAACUGCCCUUUGACUCAGCCUGGUUUGUAUUUCUUCCACCAUAGGUGGAGUAGGAAUAACCUCCACAUUCUCCUCUCCAGGAGUAUUAGGAGAUUGCACAGAGUACAGUGAAGGAACUUGUUGACAUGUCACAUCAUCAGGUGAUACUUCGGUAACCAGAGGUUGCCCCAGCACAACAUCAAGAUAUGAUAUAGAUUUUCUUAUCAAUGGAACACAGGGAAUGAUUUGCAUAGAAUUGACCACAAUAUUUUCAUAUGACUGAGUUUCAGGCGACUCCACUCCUUCCAACUGCUCUUUCAUGUUUUCAGCAACUAUGAUAUCAAUAAGCAACUCAUUAUCAAUCUCCUCACUCUCCUCUUCAGAGAGACUCUCCUCAUUGCCCCCUUGUUUUGUACCAGCCCCAUUAUCCUCUUCCACUAUUUCUAUCACAGUAGGCAUGUUUAUUCCCUUCCCAAUAGAGUUGGGUGGAGCAGAAAAAUUCCCCAUAGUAGAAGAGGAACCCCCUGCCCAUCACUUUGUGCAUUUCCUGUGAUUCUGGCUCUUUUAGGUGACACCCCUUUAUCAGCCUCUUGUGUCAUAGUCACACUUUCUUUUGGGGAAUUUUUAACCAGAAUUUUGUCCACAGAGUAGAAAAAGUCAUAAAAGUGAUCACCCAGCACCCCCUCAGCCUUUUUUGGUAUGUUCUCAGCAUCUCUGCAUCCCAAUUUGAUUCUGACAGACUCAUGUCUGUUUACAGUAGAUUUAUCGUUGUCUAAAGUGACACCCACCAAGGAUCCAACAUAUGCUAUAUUUUUUCAUGUCUUUUGUCCAGAGGAAUGUUGCUUACAUUAACCCAAGCAAUGUUAAGUACACCCUUGGCACCAACAGAUUCAGACCACUUUUUAAGACCCACCACAGCCCCACAACUUUUAAUGUUCAUGGUUUCAGCAAAACAAGCUUUGUCAACAUCUCUGGAUGAAGGAAAUCUCAUUACAAAAGUAUUGAGCACAAUCGAUCUAGCUGAGCAUUUCCAUUUUGUGUUAAUGUAAGCAUUAAAAAAUUCCUCUAACUGUCAGCCACUAGCUUGCCCCUCAACCACAGUGAUCACAAUAUAUCUGUUCCUAUCAGUGUUCUGGUUAGGUGUACUAGCAUCAUGGAUAUAGAAGAACCCCUUUCCCUUAGCUUGAAAUCCACACAUAGGAGCCACACAUUCCCAAGGAAGCACAGUGUUGCAAAUAGGAACAAGAUGCCCAUUAAGACCACAUCUACCGCAUACAACAUGAGGACAGCACAUGGGAACAUGCCCUGGUUCUUUGCAAGUAAUGCAAACCUCAGCGCCACCCACUAGUGAGGCAUCAUUCCUUCUUCCUGGAGUUGGUUGACGACGAUCUUGUUGCGGGCGUGCAUCUUGUUGGGGACGAAGAUGACGCCGUCCAGAAUCCCCCGCUGUCGCCUUGCCUUGGUUGUUGUCCCCCCAUCUCUCUACUCGGCGGUCGUCGCUUUGCGUCUCCAUGGCCGCAGCCUCCCACCUUGCUCGAUCUGACGCCCGCAUGCCCUGAUCCAUGUUGGCGGAGAUCUGGCCGCCCUCCUCGAUGUCGCACGUCCACACCAUGUUGCGGCCGCCUCCACCGCCACCACGCCCAACUCCCAUCUGAAGCGACCGACACCUUGGCCGGCCAGGCCCGCCCCGAAGCCAUCCAGCCGGUGGCCGCGGUUCUCCGCUCAUCGAUCCGUCAUGGGAGCGAGCGGACUUGCUCUUGGUGGAGAUGCGGCGACCUGGGCGAAGGAUCUGCGGUCACCCCCGCCUUCCCCUCCCACCAGCCGAACGACAGGGAAACCCUAGGUGUCGAAACCCUAGGCGCCUCCCAGAGGUGGAGAAGAAGUUGAUCGAGAUCUGGGAUGGAAUGUGGGGGUGGGGAGGCGAGGAGGGAUUUAUCCCCUCCAUAACCCUAGCCCUGUGCCCUGUAGCCGCCGGAACCACCUGGCCCAGGCUCGCCCCACCUCCCGGUCCCGCCAUGGCGUGCGUGUCGGGUGCAGGUCCAAGUACCCCAGGGUCUGCGGUCCGCUGCGGUACAUGGGACGCGCCGAGCGGUACACGAACGUGUCCCACGACCACCGUCUCUGUCGCAACGAUGUCAGCGCGCGUCGCCGGCGUCGAGGGUCGGCGACCAUGGGUGGCGUGAGGGGACGGAGAAGGUAGGGAGGUCAGGAAAGCCAUCGGGACUACACCAUGAGUUACAUACUUACAAACCAAGGAUACCUUUGCCCAGUCAGAGGGACAACAUCAUAUCUUCAUGUAGCUUCAGAGCCAAUGCAUUGCGUUUUCUUGUAUGUGUAGGCGUGUUUUAUCUCUUGCUACAUGCUUCAACUCAGGUCUUUAGAAUCAUCUUCCUAAUUGCAAAGAUCUGUAUAAAAUUAUGUUACAAUUACAAAACUACACUUCGUGGUUGAAGGGAUAAUUGCAGUUCCAAAGGUCCAUACAACUCUCGAUUUGUUGUUAAGAUGAUAUAUAUUAACAUCAAAUUUUAAAUAGUCUGCUAUUCAUCUGCUAUAGUGUCGGUAUAACUUUUGGAGUGGACUCCUGCAAACGUUAGCUAAACUGAAAAUGACGCUAAUAGCUUUUCUGAAUGCCAUGAUAGAGCUAAAUUUGAAGUCAUUUAACGCGAUAAUUCGCAAGAGCGCUCGUCCGCGCCUGCUCACGGAAUCGGUUGGCGUCCGUCGGGGUCGAGAGAAUUAGCACGUGUGAUAUUCUGCCACAGUGGUCUACGGAUAUUUUAAUGCGAGGGGAGAUGGGAGAGGGAUGAUGUUUGUAUCUAGCGGAGCGACGGUCGUUAGAGGAUAGCGGCAACGUUAAGGUACGUGGGCGUUUAUCCCGCUUUGCCUGCGCAACUGCUGCUGCAUGGUUUGGUUGCUGUGGGUCCUCUAUGCGGCGCCGAUACCCAACUUGUAGAAACAAAUUCAGGAGAAAAGCAGAGUUUUGUCAGUAGUUGGGUGUGAGCUGACGGAUUAUGAAGUAACUUAAGGAGACUAACCUCGGAGGGGAGCUGAUGGUGAUGCGAGUCGCCGGGUCGGCCAUUCAUAUGUAGGCAGAUAGCUUUUGUUUGUGGCUGAAAGACGUGACAUGAACUGAGUGUACAUAGCUUCAGCUUCGCUUUCGAGUUGCGUGAACAUAUGAGCAGCGGUUCAUUGUGCCGAGCUUCCGUUUUGCUGGCCAAAGUGGUUGCUGGUGGUAUGUGAUCUGUAGCAAAGUUGAGCAUGCCUUCGCGAAUCUUUGAGCAGACCUCUACGGCAAUGAACUGACGAGCAACAUUUUCGAUAGCAGCCCCUGAGUAGAUGGAGCCCUCGAGCAGUGUUGGGUGGAUGCACCAGUUAGAUGUGCCAAUUGACCCUUCUGGCUUUGUCUUUUUUUUCGCAUGCAAGCAAAGAAAAUAGUUUGUGUAGGAUCAGUCGUCCGACUAACUGAAAAGCAGGAUAAUGUAUGAGAUAUUUGUGCACAAAAGGAAUGGUUCUUUUUCUGUUGUUGUGCUAUUUUUAUUUCUAGUAGCUUAUUAUUAUUUUUUUGAUCGAUGCACCGGUAGCAGCACAAGCGCCGGUGCACCAGUUUUUGUUUGAUGAUGGGGGGCGAGGUCGCGGAGGUAAUUACCUUGAAUUUGAGUGCGCCAUCUUGUGCCAAAGCGAAUAAGUUUUUCAGGAUGUCGUCGGUGUAUGCAGAUAGGCAAGGCCACACAUUGUCGGUGAGGUUGCUGUCUAGAAAAUCCAUCCAUUCGGCAAAGAACACCUGCAGCGACAAGAUCAAGGUGGAAACAAGGGACAAAAAGGCGCACAUCAGCCAUGCACGCACGUAGAUCCAACGCAUCGCAUUUUCUGUCAGAUGCAAAUUGGAUGAUGUUACAUCUUUACUGGCUAAGUACCGUGUUGAUGCCGGUUAUGUACCAAUGGAACAUGCGAAAGUCACCGUCGGAGUUACCGGCCCGAAGACGGGGUUGUUUCCGUAUAUCACUGUUGUCUUGUACGGUGGUACAGCCUGCACUGCCACUGGAGGCAAUUGUCGCAUGCACGCGUCGAUGUCCAGUUCGCCAGCACUACCAGGAGCAGGCGAGGACGAGCGCUCUAUCGCCGCACUCUCAUUUAACGCCGCUAUCAAACAUGGUCUAGAGCUGGUUAAGAAGGGAGUUAUUUGGAGGAUAGCGGACUGUUCUAGAGUACACAUGUGGCAGGAUCCAUGGAUUCCGAGAGGAUAUGAUCAAAGAUUGAUAGGGUCCUGUACCGGGGGUGGCCGACACCGAGGAGCCCGGCCUUGUCAGCUGCAAGGGGGCCCAAUAGGGCCACAUUGAGACUCUUACCCUAGGAGGCUAGACGACCUUCUUGAUGUCCAAGACUAGAGGACGGCAGCGCCCCAGAUCACAUCCAGCAUGUAAACUCUAGGCCUCUCCUGCCUAUAUAAAGGGAGGUCCAGGGUUCCCCUUGACCCAUCUAUCCUCAAACAGGAGGAUCGGGGACAGUUCUAGAGUACACACGUGACAUGAUCCAUGGAUUCUGAGAGGACAUGAUCAAAUACCAAAUACCUCAAAAAUAUAUUGUCGAUGUACCCGAGUCUCAGAUUUUCUGUAUGAUCACAGUGGGUGGAAUGUUGUGCGGCUCUAAGAGCAUUUCUGGGACGUUGAUGUACAACAUAUUCCGAGGAUACGCACGUCACCGCGUAAUCGUGUCAAUUUUCUUGCAUGGUUCCCCAAAAAUUCUGGUCGGUUUACCGUCAAAAGUGCUUAUAACCUGGCUACACAAGAACAUGAUGAAACCUAUGCAGGAGGGGCAUCAAAGUUCUAACCAGGGGGUGAGCUUUCUCUAUGGAACAAUAAUGUAUGGCGUGCAAAAGUACCAUUGAAGAUAUGUAUUACCGCAUGGAAAGUUGCAUAAGGAGCACUUGCGACGGGCCAAAACAAGGUAUUUCAGUACCUUGCUACCAUCGGCCGUUGUAGGUUGUGUGGCCGGGACAUUGAGGGUUCGUUCCAUGCGCUUAUCGCUUGCCCUUAGGAAAGCAGUGUCUGGCAAGCCAUGCAUUAUGGCCUUUGCCGUUAGAGGAGGUCCUAGUUGACAAAGGGGAAGGCAUGUUAUUACAUGUUCUUGCAACAUGGCAUAGUAAAACUCGAGAUAUGGUUAUCUUAAUCAUAUGGAGAAUUUGGCAGCUUAGGAACGAUGUGGUGCAUGGUAAGGAGAUACCUCCGGUGAAAAUUACAAAGGAGUUUCUGGACAAUAACUAUAAGUCUAUUGAUCUAACACGUAAACACUGCCUGGAGGAGAUUAUAAAAGGCAAAAUGAUUGUUGGAGAAGGUACACCAUGUCCGGUGAUGGAACAUGCAGGUCAGCUAGAUCCUUGGCCGCCGCCACCUUCUGGCUGGACAACUCUAUAGGUCGACGGGAGGAUGGUUCGGUCAUCUUUGUUGCUUACAGAGCUAUUUUUCAUUGCAAUAAGGCUCUUGAGGCGGAGAUACAUGCAUGGAUGCAAGGCAUGACCCUUGCUAGACAACAUACGGAUCGACCAGUGGUCGUCCAGUCGGAUUCCUCGGAGGCUCUUUCAAUCCUUUCUGGCGGUAAAUUCUCUCAUUUGACCUAUGGUCAUUUGGUAGCUGGAAUUAAACCAUGGAUGAGUGAGAGGAAGUUUAUUCCAUAUAAAAUUAUGAGAACUCAAAAUAGGGUAGCAGAUUGUCUGGUUAAUUAUGCCGCACCGAGUUGUGUAUUGUGGUAUAGAUGAGUAGAUGACCUCCAUGUUGUGAGGAUUUAUGGUCCCUCAAUUUUAACCCUACGAUUCAUGAAUAAACUCCUUUUAUUGAGCAAAAAAUAACCCGCCGCUAAGACGAUGCAGCAAGGGGAGGAACACAAUUGCAUUCCACAAAGCCAAUGCAUUGAUGCAAAGCUUAGUUACUAAAUUAGGAUGCCCGAUCAAUGCUUAAUUUCUUUAUGUAUGAAUAUGUGUAUGUCAAGUAUAUGUGAUAUAUAAUAUAUUAUAUAUAUCAUGAUUGUAUUCUUAUUUUCUCUUUAUUUUUUCAUGAUUUUAAGAAAAAUGCUAGAUGGGUUAUAGUUUUGCUAUAGCUUUUCAUAGAAUCUGGCCGAACCCAUUGGUGGACCUAGAGGGUGUGUCAUGGCAGACCUAGAAUUCCAGGAAAAAAAUUCUACUAUGUAAUAGUAUUUGUGAAAGGCCCAGCAAAUUAAAUGGAGCCCACACCCCAAACCCAUGAUUCCACCUUGUGUCCUCACCUUGCACUCCUCCUAGAGGGAGUGCAUGACGCCUCUGUUCCUCGGGCCCAUGGUGGAGCUUGCUAGUGUCCCAAACGAUAGGAGCUCGUGGCGGUGGGAGGGGGCGGGUCGUGCUGCCAUGGGAGAACCGACGGCCGACGAGGAGGGGGCAGUUGGAGAGCCGGGGAUGCCAGGGGGCAGGGGGACAAUAGUCGUGGGGCGAGGACCAGUCCGAGACGGAGAUGGGAGUGGGUGUCUAAAUGAUGGCAGGGAGGGGAGCGAGCGGUCCGAGGACAACGAGUUAUGUCUCGCCCCAUGCUCGUGGUCUGACUUUGUGGUCUCCUUCGUGGUGUUAUCACAAAGUCGCUUCUUUAGAUCCCUUCGUCAAUUUUGAGCCGUUAUUAUCAUCAACAAUGUUCCAGUAAGACACGGAAGAAACAUAAAGGAUUGAGCAUCAAUUAUGCAAAUAGCUCCUAUACUUUUUUUUCCAAACAAGAAGCAUCAAGAGAAUAUGAGAGCAGACACUUGGCUUCUGUAAUAGUUAGGAUGCAGACAACCAAACACAAUGCACACACACAAAAAACACGCCAACAAAUAGAAAAGUCAUAUAAUACCAAAACUAUGCGGAGGCGAGGAAAAAAGGAAAACCCAAAGCUAUCACAUCCGUGAUCGGCAAACUACAACAAUGACCGCACCAAUCAUAUCCUAACACCACAUGGACACCGAGGUUCUUAAACAGCUAUGCCUUUAGGAAGGGAGUGAAACUUAAGCGUCGCCAUCACCGGAUCCAACCACCAAGACUAGAAUCUAGGUUUACACCCUGAUCAAUCCGAGCAUAUUGAACAAUGCCUUUAGCAAGAUAAAACGUAAAAGAAACAUUGUCAUUGCCAAGUAUAACCAACUCGGGUUAGAUCUAGGCUUUCACCCUGGAGCUCGAGAUCGGGUACUCGAGUAGCACCACCAUCGAUGUCACUUUUCCGCGAUCUCUGCAGCUACAUGUGUUAUGAUUGCCGCUGUUGCAUAACCAUCCCUCUGCGUCAAGCCGCCGUCCAUAAUUUCCAUCUCACCACCGAAAUCAACCAUUGCAUCUUGACUUCUUGAGAGAUGAACACUCCCGAAGAGCAUUCAAUGAACACCAAAGUUGUUGAGACGUAGGUUGAUCACAACUCGUGGGAAGUCCAACAGCCCACCGUUGUGGUCUACCUUUCAGCAGAGAGCCCCACACAUGCCGGCACCUGAUGCCAGGAGACCGGCCUGCACACACGCAACCCCAUGCAGCACCACUCGGGCUCACUAAGGACAUGUACAUCAGUUUAGACGCCUGUCGUCUACAACAAUCCUCCACGUCACCUGUAGACAGCGAUAAAAUUACCUCAUACAACAGACCGUCCUUUCUUACUAUCUAUAACACCCCAAAUUUGUAAAUAUAUUAAUUAGUCUAUGAAGUUAAAUCCCAUCCCGACCCCACUGCUCCUACUAUUUACAAACGGGGCAACUGCCGUUUUUUACAGAUGCACCCGAUACAACGCUAGAAAGGCUAUCUUUAGCGAGUGAUUUUCAAGCACUGCAGAUCGUCGUUAAUUCUACCGACAGGCUCUUUCUCUCUCCUCAAUUUCUCUACCCCACGUCAUCUAAAAUCCUAGCUGUAACCCCUUCUAGUCAGCUGAUUGUACACCGUUGUACAUGCCCUAAGAGGGAGGCCCGGCAUCCUCGGCACCAUGCACCCGCUAAAUCAACCACCAUGGGGCCGAUCUGCAGCAACACGCCUGCCCGGCUCCUUCGCCGCAGUCAUGUGCCUCCACGUUGCCGGGAGAUGCCACUCAAGCCACUCCAGCCAUCACAGAGCACCCCCACCAAUCAUCUACAGAUCGGCGUGCCAACCGGUCACCAAGCCUUGCCGCCCGACAAGACGUAGCGUAGCUGCGAGAGAGAGCCCGUCUCAGCCGUCGUCCGCGUGAGCUUUGCCCGGCGGCGUCCUCCUCCCAUGGCAUGGCAGGAGUGAGAAGGGGAGGGCGCUGGCGACGCUAGGUCGAAGACGUACCCGUGUCACCCUGGGUAGGACGGCUAGCCAGCUAGCUAACUAUAACUGGGAAGAGAAAAGUAUGUUUUUGGUCCUCCAAGUUUCCUAAAAAUAUAGACUUGGUCCCUUAAGAUGCUUUGGUAGACACUUGAUCCUUCAAGUCUUAAAACCGGAUAAGUUUAGUUCAAAACCAGAUUUUGACCACUUUGACCGGGUUUUAGAAUAAACUUAUCUGAUUUUGAGACUUGAAGCUGUUGGAAUUUUGCUAGUAGGCCCUUGGCCCAAAGCCCCAACUAAAAUUCUGAAAUUCUCUUGGCCCAUUCAUGCACACAUGUGAAUGGAGUGAGUGAGGCUAAAGUUUAGUCCCACCCCGGAAGUUGAGAGAGAGUUGCACCUCUUUAUAAGGUGAGCUCUUCUACCACUUGUAUGAGCAUGAGAAGAGGAGACCUACACGCGCGCUCCUCCUCCUCGCUCGCCUCGUCACGCCGCGGGUUACGGGAUUGAGCCGAGACGAGGACAGAGUUAUGCACGUUGUCUAUAUUUUUGCUGCAUGGGAAAAUUAAUGCGUCAUUAAUUAAUAAUUAACGGAUGCGUUAAUUACUGAACCGUUUCUGAUUCUUUUGGAUCGUGACGACUCAGACGUGGGGUUUACUCCCACGACCUACCCGGCCCGCAAUAUAUAGUCAGGAAGACGUCUACCCUAGCGGUCGCCGCUUCGUAUGGUUUCUCACCACCGUUCCAGAUCAUUGCGCCGCCAAGCAAGUCUUCUCCAUCCCUCCUUUCGGCGUGCACCAGGAGAAGGGACAACAGGCCUCCGGAACCCUGCCUCUCGUGAUCCUGUACGGGAGAGGGGCGAUCAUGUUUUUGGGGAGCGCACUCGCGUGACUGCUGGCAGCGACGACUUCGCGAACGACGACUUCUUCCCCGACCUCGGCAACCUCAUCCUCGAACACAUGGGUGACAACGUCAACGCCGGCGGUGUUGCUCCCGCUGCACCGUAUGUGAUUCUAACCUUCCUGUUCGAGAUCGUGGUAGAAUUCAUGUUUCUAGUAUGUGCCCUAGAUGUGAUUUUUGAAUUUUUGAAUUUCUGCUACGUUCCCCAACAGUGGCAUCAUGAGCUAGGUCUAUUGCGUAGAUUCUUUGCACGAGUAGAACACAAAGUAGUUGUGGGCGUUGAUGUUGUUCAAUAUGCUUACCGUUACUAGUCCAAUCUUGUUUCGACGGUAUUGUGGGAUGAAGCGGCCCGGACCGACCAUACACGUACUCUUACGUGAGACAGGUUCCACCGAUUGACAUGCACUUGGUGCAUAAGGUGGCUAGCGGGUGCCAGUCUCUCCCACUUUAGUCGGAACGGAUUCGAUGAAAAGGGUCCUUAUGAAGGGUAAAUAGCAAUUGGCAUAUCACGUUGUGGUUUUGCGUAGGUAAGAAACGUUCUUGCUAGAAACCCAUAGCAGCCACGUAAAACAUGCAAACAACAAUUAGAGGACGUCUAACUUGUUUUUGCAGGGUAUGCUUUGUGAUGUGAUAUGGCCAACAAGAAUGUGAUGAAUGAUAUGCGAUGUAUGAGAUUGAUCAUGUUCUUGUAAUAGGAAUCACGACUUGCAUGUCGAUGAGUAUGACAACCGGCAGGAGCCAUAGGAGUUGUCUUUAUUUUUUGUAUGACCUGCGUGUCAUUGAAGAACGCCAUGUAACUUACUUUACUUUAUUGCUAAACGCGUUAGCCAUAGAAGUAGAAGUAGUCGUUGGCGUGACAACUUCAUGAAGACACGAUGAUGGAGAUCAUGAUGAUGGAGAUCAUGGUGUCAUGCCGGUGACGAUGAUGAUCAUGGAGCCCCGAAGAUGAAGAUCAAAAGGAGCAAAAUGAUAUUGGCCAUAUCAUGUCACUAUUUGAUUGCAUGUGAUGUUUAUCAUGUUUAUGCAUCUUGUUUACUUAGAACGACGGUAGUAAAUAAGAUGAUCCCUUACAAAAUUUCAAGAAGUGUUCUCCCCUAACUGUGCACCGUUGCUACAGUUCGUCGCUUCUAAGCACCACGUGAUGAUCGGGUGUGAUGGAUUCUUACGUUCACAUACAACGGGUGUAAGACAGUUUUACACAGCGAAAACACUUAGGGUUAACUUGACGAGCCUAGCAUGUGCAGACAUGGCCUCGGAACACGGAGACCGAAAGGUCGAGCAUGAGUCGUAUAGUAGAUACGAUCAACAUGAAGAUGUUCACCGACGUUAACUAGUCCGUCUCACGUGAUGAUCGGACACGGCCUAGUUGACUCGGAUCAUGUGAUCACUUAGAUGACCAGAGGGAUGUCUAUCUAAGUGGGAGUUCAUAAGAUGAACUUAAUUAUCUUGAACAUAGUCAAAAGACCUUUUGCAAAUUAUGUCGUAGCUCGCGCUUUAGUUCUACUGUUUAGUUAUGUUCCUAGAGAAAAUAUAGUUGAAAGUUGACAGUAGCGAUUAUGCAAUCAGUAGAAAGCUUAUGUCCUUAAUGCACCGCUUAGUGUGCUGAACCCCAAAUGUCGUUUGUGGAUGUUGCGAACAUCGGACAUACAAGUUUUGAUAACUACGUGAUAGUUCAGUUAAAUGGUUUAAGUAGAGGCACCAAAGACGUUUUCGAAACGUCACGGAACAUAUGAGAUGUUUCGAGGGCUGAAAUUGAGAUUUCAGGCUCGUGCCCACGUCAAGAGGUAUAAGACCUCCGACGAUUUUCUUAGCCUGCAAACUAAGGGAGAAAAGCUCAAUCGUUGAGCUUGUGCUCAGAUUGUCUGAGUACAACAAUCACUUGAAUCAAGUGGGAGUUGAUCUUCCAGAUGAGAUAGUGAUGUUUCCCCAAAGUCAUUGCCACCAAGCUGCUAGAGCUUCGUGAUGAACUAUAACAUAUCAAGGAUAGAGAUGAUGAUCCUUGAGGUAUUCGCGUUGUUUGACAUCGCGAAAGUAGAAAUCAAGAAGGAGCAUCAAUUGUUGAUGGUUGAUGAAACCACUAGUUUCAAGAAGGGCAAGGAAAAAAAAGGGAUACUUCAUGAAACGGCAAAUCAGCUGCUGCACCAAUGAAGAAACCCGAGGUUGAACCCAAACCCGAGACUAAGUACUUCUGUAAAUAAGGGGAACAACCACUAGAGCAGGAUUACCCUAGAUACUUGGUAGAUGAGAAGGCUGGCAAGGUCGAUAGAAGUAUAUUAGGUAUACAUUAUGUUAAUGUGUACUUUACUAGUACUCCUAGUAGCACCAGGGUAUUAGAUACCGGUUCGAUUGCUAAGUGUUAGUAACUCGAAAUAAAAGCUACGGAAUAAACAGAGACUAGCUAAAAGUGAGCUGACGAUAUGUGUUGGAAGUGUUUCCAAGUUUGAUGUGAUCAAACAUCGCACGCUCCCUCUACCAUCAAGAUUAGUAUUAAACCUAAAUGGUUUAUUGAAUCUCGAUCGUAGUGAUACACAUUUUCAUGCCAAAAGAUAUAAGAUAGUAAUGAUAGUACCACUUACUUGUGGCACUGCCAUGUAAGUCAUAAUGGUAUAAAACGCAUGAAGAAGCUCCAUGUUGAUGGAUCUUUGGACUCACUCGUUUUUGAAAAGUUUGAGACAUGCGAACCAUGUCUAUUGGUGUAUAUGCAUGAAGAAACUCCAUGCAAAUGGACCGUUUGAACUCACUUGAUUUUGAAUCACUUGAGAUAUGCAAAUCAUACCACAUGGGCAAGAUGACUGAAAAGCCUCGUUUUCAAUAAGAUGGAACAAGAUAGCAACUUGUUGGAAGUAACACAUUUUGAUGUGUGCAGUCCAAUAAGUGCUGAGGCAUGCAGUGAAUAUCGUUAUGUUCUUACUUCACAGAUGAUUCGAGUAGAUGUUGAGAAUAUUUACUUGAUGAAACACAAGUCUGAAUUAUUGAAUGGUUCAAGUAAUUUCAGAGUGAAGUAGAAGAUCAUUGUGACAAAAGGAUAAAAUGUCUAUGAUAUGAUCAUAGAGAUGAGUAUCUGAGUUACGAGUUUUGGCACACAAUUAAGACAUUGUGGAAAAUGUUUCACAAUAAAUACCGCCUGGAACACCAUAAUGUGAUGGUGUGUCCGAACAUCAUAGUUGCACCCUAUUGGAUAUGGUGCGUACCAUGAUGUCUCUUAUCGAAUUACCACUAUCGUUCAUGGGUUAGGCAUUAGAGACAACCACAUUCACUUUAAAUAGGGCACCACGUAAUUCCGAUGAGAUGACACCGUAUGAAUUAUGGUUUAGAGAAACCUAAGUUGUCGUUUCUUAAAAGUUUGGGGCUGCGACGCUUAUAUGAAAAAGUUUCAGGUUGAUAAGCUCGAACCCAAAGCGGAUAAAAUGCAUCUUCAUAGGAAACCCAAAACAGUUGGGUAUACCUCCUAAUUCAGAUCCGAAAGCAAUAUGAAUUGUUUCGAGAAUCAGGUCCUUUCUCGAGGAAAAGUUUCUCUCGAAAGAAUUGAGUGGGAGGAUGGUGGAAACUUGAUAAGGUUAUUGAACCGUCUCUUCAACUAGUGUGUGGCAGGGCACAGGAAGUUGUUCCUGUGGCACCUACACCAAUUGAAGUGGAAGCCUAUGAUAUUGAUCAUGAAACUUCGGAUCAAGUCACUACCAAACCUCGUAGGACGACAAGGAUGCGUACUACUUCAGAGUGGUACGUAAUCCUGUCUUGAAGGUCAUGUUGCUAGACGACAAUGAACCUACGAGCUAUGGAGAAGCGAUGGUGGGCCCGAAUUCCGACAAAUGGUUAGAAGCCAUGAAAUCCGAGAUAGUAUCCAUAUAUCAGAACAAAGCAUGGACUUUGAUGGACUUGCCCGAUGAUCGGCAAUCCAUUGAGAUAAAUGGAUCUUUUAAGAAGAAGACGGACGUGGAUGGUAAUGUCACCGUCCAUGAAGCUCGACUUGUGGCGAAGAGUUUUUCACAAGUUCAAGGAGUUGACUACGAUGAGAUUUUCUCAUCCGUAGCGAUGCUUAAAGUCCGUCGGAUUCAUGUUAGCAUUAGCUGUAUUUAUGAAAUCUGGCAGAUGGAUGUCAAAACGAGUUUCCUUACCAGUUUUCGUGAGGAAAGGUUGUAUGUAAUACAAUCAGAAAGUUUUUGUCGAUCCUAAGGAUGCUAAAAGGUAUGCUAGCUCCAGCGAUCCUUCUAAGGACUGGAGUAAGCAUCUCGGAGUUGGAAUGUACACUUUGAUAAGAUGAUCAAAGAUUUUGGGUUUGUACAAAGUUUAUGAGAAACUUGUAUUUCCAAAGAAGUGAGUGGGAGCACUAUAGAAUUUCUGAUGAGUAUAUGUUCUUGACAUAUUGUUGAUCAGAAAUGAUGUAGAAUUUCUAGAAAGCAUAUAGGGUUAUUUGAAAGGUGUUUUUCAAUAGAAAACCUGGAUUAAGCUACUUGAACAUUGAGCAUGAAGAUCUAUAAGGAUAGAUCAAAAUGCUUAAUAAUACUUUCAAAUGAGCACAUACCUUGACAUGAUCUUGAAGGUGUUCAAGAUGAAUCAGUCAAAGAAGAAGUUCUUGCCUGAGUUGUAAGGUACGAAGUUAAGACUUAAAGCUCGACCACGGCAGAAUAGAGAGAAAGGACGAAGGUCGUCCCCUAUGCUUAAGACGUAGGCUCUUCAGUAUGCUAUGCUGUGUACCGCACCUGAAGUGUGCCUUGCCAUGAGUCAGUCAAGGGGUACAAGAGUGAUCCAAGAAUGGCUCACAGGACAGCGGUCAAAGUUAUCCUUAGUAACUAGUGGACUAAGAAAUUUUCUCGAUUAUGGAGGUGGUAAAAGAGUUCGUCGUAAAAGUUACGAUGAUGCAAUCUUGACACCUAUCCGGAUAGCUCUGAGUAGAGAGACCGGAUACAUAUAAUGGAGCAAUAAUUUAGAAUAGCUCCAAGUAGAACAGUUAUUUGGAAUAGCUCCAAAUAGAGCGUGGUAGCUGCAUCUAGGAGAUGACAUAGAGAUUUGUAAAGCACACGCGGAUCUGAAAGUUUCAGACCCGUUGACUAAAACCUCUCUCACAAGCAACAUGAUCAAACAUAAAACUCAUUGAGUGUUAAUCACAUAGUGAUGUGAACUAGACUACUGACUCUAGUAAACUCUUGGGUAUUAGUCACAUGGUGAUGUGACCUGUGAGUGUUAAUCACAUGGCGAUGUGAACUAGAUUAUUGACUCUAGUGCAAGUGGGAGACUGUUGGAAAUAUGCCCUAGAGGCAAUAAUAAAAGUAUUAUUAUUAUAUUUCCUUGUUCAUGAUAAUUGUCUUUUAUUCAUGCUAUAACUGUAUUAUCCGGAAAUCGUAAUACACGUGUGAAUACAUAGACCACAAUAUGUCCCUAGUGAGCCUCUAGUUGACUAGCUCGUUGUGAUCAACAGAUAGUCAUGGUUUCCUGGCUAUGGACAUUGGAUGUCGUUGAUAACGGGAUCACAUCAUUAGGAGAAUGAUGUGAUGGACAAGACCCAAUCCUAAGACUAGCACAAAGAUCGUGUAGUUCGUUUGCUAGAGCUUUGCCAAUGUCAAGUAUCUCUUCCUUUGACCAUGAGAUCGUGUAACUCCUGGAUACCGUAGGAGUGCUUUGGGUGUAUCAAACGUCACAACGUAACUGGGUGACUAUAAAGGUACACUACAGGUAUCUCCGAAAGUAUCUAUUGUUUUAUACGGAUCGAGACUGGGAUUUGUCACUCCGUGUAAACGGAGAGGUAUCUCUGGGCCCACUCGGUAGGACAUCAUCAUAUGCGCAAUGUGACCAAGGAGUUGAUCACGGGAUGAUGUGUUACGGAACGAGUAAAGUGACUUGCCGGUAACGAGAUUGAACAAGGUAUUGGAUACCGACGAUCGAAUCUCGGGCAAGUAACAUACCGAUAGACAAAGGGAAUUGAAUACGGGAUCGAUUGAGUCCUUGACAUCGUGGUUCAUCCGAUGAGAUCAUCGUGGAACAUGUGGGAGCCAACAUGGGUAUCCAGAUCCCGCUGUUGGUUAUUGACUGGAGAACGUCUCGGUCAUGUCUGCAUGUCUCCCGAACCCGUAGGGUCUACACACUUAAGGUUCGAUGACGCUAGGGUUAUAAAGGAAGCUUGUAUGUGGUUACGGAAUGUUGUUCGGAGUCCCGGAUGAGACCCCGGACGUCACGAGGAGUUCCGGAAUGGUCCGGAGGUAAAGAUUUAUAUAUAGGAAGUCCUGUUUCGGCCAUCGGGACAAGUUUCGGGGUCAUCGGUAUUGUACCGGGACCACCGGAAGGGUCCCGGGGGCCCACCGGGUGGGGCCACCUGCCCUGGGGGGCCACAUGGGCUGUAGGGGGUGCGCCUUGGCCUACAUGGGCCAAGGGAACCAGCCCCAAGAGGCCCAUGCGCCUAGGGAACCCUAGAGGGAAGAGUCCUCAAAGGGGAAGGCACCUCCGAGGUGCCUUGGGGAGGAUGGACUCCUCCCCCCUCCUUGGCCGCACCCCAAAACCCAUCUAGGGCUGGCCGCCGCCCCUAGGGGGUGGGAAAACCCUAAAGGGGGCGCAGACCCCUUCCCCCCUAUAUAUAUUGAGGCAUGGGGCUGCCCAUAACACGCGAUUUGAUCUCUAGUUAGUGCAGCCCUGCCCCUCUCCCUCCUCCUCUUCUCCCAUGGAGCUUGGCGAAGCCCUGCGGGAUUGCCACGCUCCUCCACCACCACCACGCCGUUGUGCUGCUGUUGGAUGGAGUCUUCCUCAACCUCUCCCUCUCUCCUUGCUGGAUCAAGGCGUGGGAGACGUCACCGGGCUGUACGUGUGUUGAACGCGGAGGUGCCGUCCGUUCGGCACUUGAUCAUCGGUGAUCUGAAUCACGACGAGUACGACUCCAUCAACCCCGUUCACUUGAACGCUUCCGCUUAGCGAUCUACAAGGGUAUGUAGAUGCACUCUCCUUCUACUCGUUGCUGGUCUCUCCAUAGAUAGAUCUUGGUGUUACGUAGGAAAUUUUUUGAAUUUCUGCUACGUUCCCCAACAAAACAAGCUCCUAAGGAGUGGCAUGAGAAGUUCGAAAGAACAUUAACUACUGCCGGCUUUGUAGUAAAUAAUGGUGACAAGCGCAUGUACUAUCGCUAUGGUGGGGGCGAAGGAGUUAUUCUUUGUCUGUAUGUCGAUGACAUAUUGAUCUUUGGAACCAAACUUGAUUUAAUCAAGGAGGUUAAGGAUUUCUUAUCUCGCUGUUUUGAGAUGAAGGAUCUAGGAGUAGCUGAUGUUAUCUUAAACAUCAAGCUGUUGAGAGAUGAGAAUGGUGGGAUCACACUGCUUCAGUCUCAUUAUGUGGAAAAGGUCUUGAGUCUUUUUGGGUAUAGCGACUGCACGCCUUCUCCAACUCCAUAUGAUGCUAGUGUGUUGCUUCGAAAGAAUCGACGGAUUGCUAGAGAUCAACUAAGGUAUUCUCAGAUUAUUGGCUCGCUUAUGUAUUUGGCGAGUGCCACGAGGCCUGACAUCUCUUUUGCUGUGUGCAAGCUGAGUCGGUUUGUGUCAAAACCGGGAGAUGAUCAUUGGCAUGCACUUGAGAGAGUUAUGCGCUAUUUGAAAGGCACCGCGAGCUAUGGGAUUCACUACACCGGGUAUCCAAGGGUACUGGAGGGUUAUAGUGACUCAAACUGGAUAUCUGAUGCUGAUGAGAUUAAGGCCACAAGUGGUUAUGUUUUUACACUUGGUGGUGGCGCUGUUUCCUGGAAGUCUUGCAAGCAGACCAUCUUAACGAGGUCAACUAUGGAAGCAGAACUCACAGCAUUAGACACUACCACUGUUGAAGCAGAGUGGCUUCGUGAACUCUUGAUGGACUUACCUAUGGUUGAAAAACCAAUACCCCCUAUCCUGAUGAACUGUGAUAAUCAAACUGUGAUCAUCAAGAUAAACAGUUCUAAGGACAAUAUGAAGUCCUCAAGGCAUGUGAAGAGGAGACUAAAAUCUGUCAGAAAAUUGAGGAACUCCAGAGUUAUUACGUUGGAUUAUAUCCAAACGUCGAAAAACUUGGCAGAUCCCUUCACAAAGGGUCUAUCACGUAAUGUGAUAGAUAAUGCAUCGAUGGAGAUGGGUUUGAGACCCACCGCAUGAGUUGUCCAUAGUGGUAACCCACUCUAUGUGAUCGGAGAUCCCGUGAAGUAGAAGUGGGAGACAAGCUGUUGGUCAGCUGGGAGGAGAGUAUCCCUAUAUUAAUUAUCCCACUCCAUGAAGAUGCAAUACUCUCCUGAUCUGCAUGGCAGGUUGAUACUUAUCUUAAUGUGUUCCAAGUGGCUUAUUCGGAUAAGCAGAGAUGUUGUCCUGCAGAACAUCUUCUGAGGAACACACCUAUAUGAAUUUGACUGUUAACGUCGCAGUCUGUGAGAAUUGGGUGUUCUCUAAUAAAUUCAUGAAAGGCCCUGGAGUAUGACGUAUACGCUCCACCCGCGGGGAAGCCAUGCGGCAGCCUAGUAUCGGUCAAGAAUUUGUGUGAAACUAGUUUCACAGAAAACUUGUAGUUCAAGGCAUAGUCCACUAUUCAAGUUGUGAUCUAGUGUAGCAUAAAUUUCUAAGUGGAAGUUCAACUUCAUAGUCUCCACUAAGCACCGAUAUAUAAAACAAUAUUUUGGAACUAAAUGAUGAGAUGUGCCAAUGAGACUUUGUGGGGGAUUGUUGGAAUUUUGCUAGUAGGCCUUUGGCCCAAAGCCCAACUAAAAUUCUGAAAUUCUCUUGGCCCAUUCAUGCACACAUGUGAGUGGAGUGAGUGAGGCUAAAGUUUAGUCCCACCCCGGAAGUUGAGAGAGAGUUGCACCUCUUUAUAAGGUGAGCUCUUCUACCACUUGUAUGAGCAUGAGAAGAGGAGACCUACACGCGCGCUCCUCCUCCUCGCUUGCCUCGCCUCGCCUCGUCAUGACGCGCCGCGGGUUGCGGGAUUGAGCCAAGCCGAUGACAGAGUUAUGCACGUUGUCUAUAUUUUUGCUGCAUGGGAAAAUUAAUGAGUCAUUAAUUAAUAAUUAACGGACGCGUUAAUUACUGAACCGUUUCCGAUUCUUUUGGAUCGUGACUACUCGGACGUGGGGUUUACUCCCACGGCCUAACCGGCCCGCAAUAUAUAGUCAGACAAACGUCUACCCUAGCGGCCGCCGCUUCGUAUGGUUUCUCACCACCAUUCCAGAUCAUUGCGCCGCCAAGCAAGUCUUCUCCAUCCCUCCUUUCGGCAUGCACCGGGAGAAGGGACAGCAGGCCUCCGGAACCCCGCCUCUCGUGAUCCUGUACGGGAGAGGGGCGAUCAGGUUUUUGGGGAGCGCACUCGCGCGACUGCUGGCAGCGACGACUUCGCGAACGACGACUUCUUCCCCGACCUCGGCAACCUCAUCCUCGAUGACAUGGGUGACAACGUCAACGCCGGCGGUGUUGCUCCCGCUGCACCGUAUGUGAUUCUAACCUUCCUGUUCGAGAUCGUGGUAGAAUUCAUGUUUCUAGUAUGUGCCCUAGAUGUGAUCUGUUCAUCUGCUAUGCUAGUUCACAUGAUUAGUUUAAUCUCUAUUGCUGUAGUCAUGAUUUAUCUUCUGUUUAUUCAGAUUAAAUCUCGUAGUAAUUUGCUCAUAUUUUCCACAAUCCAAAAACCUGAUUAUAGGCAAUUUACUUCGAGUGGUUUUGCUGCGCAUCUGAAGCCGCCUGCCUUUAAGGGGGCGCAAUAUAAGAGGUGGCACAUGAAAGAAGUCUACUGGUUUCAGAUCAUGGGCUACUAUGAUGCCACCAAGGGCAAGCCUGAGGGCGAUCUUAAUCCAGCACAGCUGGAAGCUUUUGAGAAGAUCGAUACCCUCUUUAAAGGCGCUCUUCUGAGUGUUCUUGAUGACUCCAUUGUGGAUUCAUAUAUGUCGUUUGACAACGGCAAGGACAUGUGGGCUGCGCUCGUGGCCAAGUUUGGUGCCUCGGACGCCGACAGCGAGUUGUACGUCAUUGAGCAAUUUUAUGACUACAAGAUGACUGAUGAGCGCGCUGUUGUACAGCAGGCUCAUGAGAUACAGUCGCUCGCAAAAGAACUUGAGUACUUCAAGUGUGUGUUGCCGGACAAAUUUGUUGCCGGGGGCAUCAUUGCCAAGCUUCCACCUUCGUGGAACAAUUUUGUUACUUCCCUGAAACACAAGAGACAGGAGUUUUCCGUUGCGGAUCUCAUUGGUACUCUUGAUGUUGAAGAGAAGGCAAGAGCAAAGGACACACGUGCUCGAGUUGCUGAGGGAGGUUCUAGUGCCCACAUGGUACAUAAGAAGAACUUCCAGCCCAACAAGUUCAAAAACAACAAGAACAAAACUCAGGGCAAAGGCAAGUUUGAUACAAAGAACAAGCCAUCACAUUCUACCAACUUCAAGAAGAAUUCUCAUAAGAAGGGGAAGGGACUUUGCCAUGUCUGCGGUGAUCCCAAUCACUGGGCUCCGAAGUGUCCUAACCGCUUUGAGGAGCGUGAACAUGAGAAGAGCGGCAAGUCCGCUAAUGUCGUCAUCGGUGAUACUGAUAUGAAGGAAUCAGGGUACGGUAUUUUUCCUACCAUCCUUUCAGUAUUUCAAUCCCCUGAUUGGUUAAUUGACACCGGUGCUAAUGUACAUGUUUGUGCUGAUGCCUCCAUGUUUUCUUCUUACCAGGCCACUGGGACUUCUCCCGUGAUGAUGGGGAACGGGUCACAUGCCAUCGUUCGAGGUGUUGGUACGGUCGAUCUGAAGUUUACUUCGGGGAAGACCGUGCGUCUGAAGAACGUUCAUCAUGUGGCGUCCAUCAAUAAAAAUCUCGUCAGCGGUUCCCGUUUAUGUCGAGAUGGUUUUAAGUUGGUUUUCGAAUCCAAUAAAGUUGUAAUUUCUAAGUGUGGACAAUUUGUUGGAAAAGGCUAUGAGUGCGGAGGCUUGUUCCGCCUAUCUUUGUCAGAUAUUUGCACUAAAGUUAUUAAUAAUGUUUGCCACAAUAAUGAGUCUGAUAUUUGGCAUUCACGACUUUGUCAUAUUAACUUUGGAUGCAUUCACGAUCAUGUUUUGUAACAAAGUUAUCGGCAACUGGCAGGAGCCAUACGGUUGUCGCUUUAUUGUAUGAAAUGCAAUCAUCAUGUAAUUGCUUUACUUUAUCACUAAGCGGUAGCGAUAGUCGUAGAAGCAAUAGUUGGCGAGACGACAACGGUGCUUCGAUGGAGAUCAAGGUGUCAAGCCGGUGACGAUGGUGAUCAUGACGGUGCUUUAGAGAUGGAGAUCAAAGACAGAAGAUGAUGAUGGCCAUAUCAUUUCACUUAUAUUGAUUGCAUAUGAUGUUUAUCCUUUAUGUAUCUUAUUUUUCUUAGUUCGGCGGUAGCAUUAUAAGAUGAUCUCUCACUAAAUUUCAAGGUAUAAGUGUUCUCCUUGAGUAUGCACCGUUGCUACAGUUCAUCGUGCCGAGACACCACGUGAUGAUCAGGUGUGAUAAGCUCUAUGUUCAGAUACAACGGGUGCAAGCCAGUUUUGCACACACAAAAUACUCGGGUUAAACUUGACGAGCCUAGCAUAUGCAGAUAUGGCCUCGGAACACUAAGACCGAAAGGUCGAGCGUGAAUCAUAUAGUAGAUAUGAUCAACAUAGUGAUGUUCACCUUUGAAAACUACUCCAUCUCAUGUGAUGAUCGGACAUGGUUUAGUUGAUAUGGAUCACGUGAUCACUUAGAUGAUUAGAGAUAUGUCUAUCUAAGUGUGAGUUCUCAAGUAAUUUGAUUAAUUAAACUUUAAUUUAUCAUGAACUUAGUACCUGAUAGUAUUUUUCAUGUCUAUGUUGUUGUAGAUAGAUGGCUCGUGCUGUUGUUCCGUUGAAUUUUAAUGCGUUCCUAGAGAAAGCUAAGUUGAAAGAUGAUGGUAGCAACUACACGGACUGGGUCCGUAACUUGAGGAUUAUCCUCAUUGCUGCACAGAAGAAUUACGUCCUGGAAGCACCGCUAGGUGACAAACCCACUGCAGGAGCAACGCCAGAUGUUGUGAACACCUGGCAGAGCAAAGCUGAUGACUACUCGAUAGUUCAGUGUGCCAUGCUUUACGGCUUAGAACUGGGACUUCAACGACGUUUUGAACGUCAUGGAGCAUAUGAGAUGUUCCAGGAGUUGAAGUUAAUAUUUCAAGCAAAUGCCCGGAUCGAGAGAUAUGAAGUCUCCAAUAAGUUCUACAGCUGCAAGAUGGAGGAGAAUAGUUCUGUCAGUGAACAUAUACUCAGAAUGUCUGGGUACCACAACCACUUGACUCAACUGGGAGUUAAUCUUCCUGAUGAUAGUAUCAUUGACAGAGUUCUUCAAUCAUUGCCACCAAGCUACAAGAGCUUCGUGAUGAACUAUAAUAUGCAAGGGAUGGGUAAGACGAUUCCUGAGCUCUUCGCAAUGCUAAAGGCUGCGGAGGUAGAAAUCAAGAAGGACCAUCAAAUGUUGAUGGUCAACAAGACCAUCAGUUUCAAGAAAAAGGGUAAAGGGAAGAAGGGGAACUUCAAGAAGAAUAGCAAGCCAGUUGCUGCUCAAGUGAAGAAACCCAAGUAUGGACCUAAGCUUGAAACCGAGUGCUUCUGUUGCAAAGAAAAUAGUCAUUGGAAGUGGAACUGCCCUAGAUAUUUGGCGGAGAAGAAGGAUGACAAAGUGAAAAGUAUAUUUGAUAUACAUGUUAUUGUUGUGUACCUUACUAAUGCUCGCAAUAGUGCCUGGGUAUUUGAUACUGGUUCAGUUUCUAACAUUUGCAACUCGAAACAGGGGCUACCACUACUAGGGAAAAGGCUAGCAGCAGCGCGGGUUUUAGACCUAUCAGUAGCGCGGGGUGGUGCGCUACUGAUAAGGCGCUACAGCUAACGAAUAGCAGUAGCGUGCCUCCACCCAUGCUACGGCUAAAUCGACUUAGUAGCAGCAAGUUCCAGGAGGAGCGCUGCUGGUAAUUAGUAGUAGCGCUUCUCUCUGCCCGCGCUGCUACUAUUAUUGUAUUUUAUUUCUUUUUUAUUUCAUGUUGUAUUCAUACACCUUUACACAAAUUUUCAUACAACAGGAAUUUACAAAUUGUUUUUACAUCAUAAUGAGUUAUUACAUCACGGGGUGAAAGAACCGUGUGGACUAGUUUCAAGUGGACGGACAUCCACUUGAAACUAAUCCGCGGUUCUUUCACCCAAUGAUAUAAUAAAUAUCAUCAUCAUCAUCAUCAUAUCAUUAACAGCUUAUCAUCAUCAUCAUCAUAUCAUUGGUCACUAGUCGUAAUCACAAGUACUCCUCACAUCUUCAACUCUAACACAUUGUAUCACAUAAUAAACAUAUUGUACCUCAUAGGACCUACUACAUUCUCUUAGGACCUACUAUAUUCUCUAAGGUAAAAUAGCAAAAAACAAGAUAGCCCCUCGCUCUCCAUUAUGGAGAAUGCAGAUUAUCCUGUCUCCAAUUCUUACCUUUCGCUUAAUGUUGCUUCCAAGAACCUCCUUACGAAUGUCCAAACAUUUUUUCCACUCUUUGAUUAGCAUGUGUUCACCGGUUUCAGAAAUUCGAUAUGCACAGGUGAGAUCCGUAGGAUGACCUGGCUGUAGGUUCAGAACUUCAAGGCGACCAUUGUAAUACAUCAGAUGAGGCACAUAAUCCAUCGGGAUUUUCUAUUGAAAAACAUAGUAAUAACUUCGUAGUUAGCAAUGAUGUACUAGUUUUAGAAGUAUGCAAAAGAUGCACGGAUGUCGUAAUAGUAAAAUACCUUACCAGGGUAUCUCCAUAGAAGUUAUCGUGGUUCAACACGUGCACUAGUGGCACGUAUUCACCAUAAUUUGGAGGAGUUCGAUAAUAGGUAUUGUAAUUCUCAAAAAAAGUACAAUAAGCAAUCAGAUGAUUUUUCUCCUUAUAAGUUAAUUCAGAGCCAUCAGUGUAGUGGGUUUUGUCUACCAUCUUCUGCACAUUCUUUGAAGAUUCAAAAUAAGCUGUCAAUGGAAAUAAGCUGUCAACUAUUUUGAAAUAAACAAUAUAAAUUAGUUAAUAACUAUGUUUGAGAAACUCACAUUGCGGUAGAAUCGGAAGCGUAUCAACAAGGACCCAAAUGUCCAUAUUGUCUUGCUCGAUGUCAGGAUCACCAAGAUCCAUGCUGACAAUCAUACCCUCAUAAAAACCAUACAUUUUGCAAAGUGCUUCCCAAUUUUGGCAACCAAAAUGGGUUACACUCUGAGAAUUGUACAGAUUUACUUCAAAAUCGAUAUCAUGAUGGGUCAUUAGGUGUAUUAUCUUUGUUUGAAAAUUUUCAUGGUCUUCAAAACCCAUCCUCUCCAAGACAUAGCAUCUUGCAUGGCAUGAGAUAAGCUAGUAGAAUUGUAAAAGAUGAAAAUUAGACGUUGAAAUAGUUGAAGUCAUGCUUAAUUACGAAAAAAACACUUGUCAUUGUUGCGUACCGUUUCAACAUCGAAGGUCUCCUCGAGCUUAAUGCUGAAGCGCCGAUCUUCAUCCAGCUGAACGAACCUGUCGCACAUACCUCGAUCAUCGUGGCACCAACUGCACUCCCCGGAGAGAUUGUCGUCGUCCGAGUACGACAUUUCCUAUGUUCAUAAUUCAAAGAUUAAACUUGUACAUAUUCUAGCACAAGUCAUGCCAGAAUUCACGGAAAAAUCCGGCAUGACCUUUGCUAAAAAAGGACAUAUCGAGCGCCUGAAAUUUGCCGGAACGGAAAUUAAUCAACACUCCGGCAAAACAUAGGCCACUCGGAGGUGUAACCAAAACAUGAAAUAAUUGCUUAAACUAAAAAAUAACACCAAAUAUGGCAUGUUCAACUAGUUUUAUUAAUUCAACUAGUUCUAUUAAUUCAACUAGUUCUUACUAAAUAUAAACUUAGUAUAAAAAGAAAAAAACUAGUUCUUUCUAAAAAUGAAGUAGUUCAACUAGUUAUUAAUUUACUUACUAUACUAGUUCAACUAAAACUUAACUAGUUCUAUUAAUUCAACUAGUUCUUACUAAAUAUAAACUUACUAUAAAUAGAAAGAAACUAGCACAUCUACUACUACUAAUUAACAUCUAACUACUACAUCUACUACUAAUUAACAUGUACUACUGCUAAUUAUACAACUAGUUUACCAUCACUACUAGUAAUUAAUAUCCACUACUUCUAAAAAUCAUUAUCUAUGAACCCUAAAUUAACAUCUACUACUACUAAAAUCAUCUACUAACUAAGCAAAGAGAGAGGGGGUUGGGGAGGGGUGGGGGNNNNNNNNNNNNNNNNNNNNNNNNNNNNNNNNNNNNNNNNNNNNNNNNNNNNNNNNNNNNNNNNNNNNNNNNNNNNNNNNNNNNNNNNNNNNNNNNNNNNNNNNNNNNNNNNNNNNNNNNNNNNNNNNNNNNNNNNNNNNNNNNNNNNNNNNNNNNNNNNNNNNNNNNNNNNNNNNNNNNNNNNNNNNNNNNNNNNNNNNNNNNNNNNNNNNNNNNNNGGUCGAGGGCGGCGGCGGUGAGGUCGAGGGCGGCGUCAGUGUGGUCGAGAGAGGCGGCGGUGAGGUUGAGGGCGGGCGGCGGUGGCGGCGGUGAGGGCGCAGGCGCGCUUGGGCUCGGGCGGCGGCGACAGGGAGUAGGGGAACAGGCCGGUGGGGGGAAAGGAGGACUUAGCGAAAUUUUGAUGCGGGGGGUGGUUAACUCGAACUAGCAGUAGCGCACGUACAGAAGACGCGCUAUAGCUAACUUAUCUACAGCGCGUUUUGGGGAAAACCGCUACUGCUAAUGGAAGCAGUUAUUUCUUUUGUUUAGUAAAAACAUCAAAAAUAUACAUUGGUCAUCAUUGAUCUUUUUGUGUAUAAUCUAAAUAGUCAACAUGAAUCCUCAAUGUACCUGUAUAGGUACAGGCGAGGAUUCAUAUUGCAACCACAAAUCAUACACAUAUAGUUCAAUGAAUACCAAGUGCUCGAGAUAGGUUGAGAAGCAACAUAUUUAAGGUGGUAAACACCUUGUUCGCUUAGCAUUAUGGGACUAAAGUAAAUUAGUUGCGGUCAUACUUAGCAGCAGCGAGUUUUGAGCAAAACCGCUGCUACUAAGUUCUUUAGCAGUAGCGCGUCCACGGGAAGGGCGCUACUACUAUAUCUUUCCUGGAGGCAACACCGUGGCAAUUAUAGUAGUAGCGCUCUUUUCACCUAGAGCGCUACUGCUACUCAGUCAUUAGCAGCGCUCUUUUCUAAAGCUCGUUGCUGCUAAUUAGCAGUAGCGUAUGUUUUUAGACCGCGCUGUUGCUAAAAUUCUGUGUAUAAGGUUUUCCCUAGUAGUGUACGGAUUAAGCGAAGAUUGGCUAAGGACGAGGUGACGAUGCGCGUGGGAAAUGGUUCCAAAGUCGAUGUGAUCGCCGUCAACACGCUACCACUACAUCUACCUUUGGGAUUAGUUUUAGACCUAAAUAAUUGUUAUUUGGAGCCAGCGUUGAGCAUGAACAUUAUAUCUGGAUCUUGUUUGAUGCGAGACGAUUAUUCAUUUAAAUCAGAGAAUAAUGGUUGUUCUAUUUAUAUGAGUAAUAUCUUUUAUGGUCAUGCACCCUUGAUGAGUGGUCUAUUUUUACUAAAUCUUGAUAGUAGUAAUACACAUGUUCAUAGUAUUGAAGCCAAAAGAUAGUGCAACUUAUUUGUGGCACUGUCGUUUAGGUCAUAUUGGUGUAAAGAGCAUGAAGAAACUCCAUUCUGAUGGACUUCUGGAAUCACUUGAUUAUGAAUCACUUGGUACUUGAGAACCAUGCCUCAUGGGCAAGAUGACUAAAAAUCCAUUCGCCGGAACAAUAGAGCGAGCAACAGAGUUAUUGGAAAUCAUACAUACUCAUGUAUGUGGUCCAAUGAACAUUGAAGCUCACGGCGGAUAUCGUUAUUUUCUCACCUUCACAGAUGAUUUGAGCAUAUAUUGGGUAUAUCUACUUAAUGAAACAUAAGUCUGAAACAUUUGAAAAGUUCAAAGAAUUUCAGAGUGAAGUGGAAAAUCAUUGUAAUAAGAAAAUCAAGUUUCUACGAUUUGAUCGUGGAGGUGAAUAUUUGAGUUAUGAGUUUGGACUUCAUUUGAAAUAAUGUGGAAUAGUUUCGCAACUCACGCCACCUGGAACACCACAACGUAAUGGUGUGUCCGAACGUCGUAACCACACUCUAUUAAAUAUGGUACGAUUUAUGAUGUCUCUCACUGAUUUACUGCUAUCGUUUUGGGGUCAUGCUUUAGAGACGGUUGCAUUCACGUUAAAUAAUGCACCAUCUAAAUCCGUUGAGACGACACCUUAUGAACCGUGGUUUUCCAAGAAACCCAAGUUGUCGUUUUUUAAGGUUCGCGGCUGCGAUCCUGCUACCUCUUGAGCACUGCGUUGGUUUUCCCCGAAGAGGAAGGGAUGAUGCAGCAAAGUAGUGUAAGUAUUUCCCUCAGUUUUUGAGAACCAAGGUAUCAAUCCAGUAGGAGGCUACGUGCGAGUCCCUCGCACCUGCACAAAACAAAUAAAUCCUCGCAACCAACGCAAAUAGGGGUUGUCAAUCCCUAUAGGGCCACUUACGAGAGUGAGAUCUGAUAGAUAUGAUAGGAUAAUAUUUUUGGUAUUUUUAUGAUAAAAGAUGCAAAGUAAAAUAAAGGCAAAGUAAAUAACAAAGGAAAUAACUAAGUAGUAGGAGAUCAAUAUGAUAAAGAUAGACCCGGGGGCCAUAUGUUUCACUAGUGGCUUCUCUCAAGAGCAUAAGUAUUCUACGGUGGGUGAACAAAUUACUGUUGAGCAAUUGACAGAAUUGAGCAUAGUUAUGAGAAUAUGUAGGUAUGAUCAUGUAUAUAGGCAUCACGUCCGAGACAAGUAGACCGACUCCUGCCUGCAUCUACUACUAUUACUCCACUCAUCGACUGCUAUCCAGCAUGCAUCUAGAGUAUUAAGUUAAAAACAAAGUAACACCUUAAGCAAGAUGACAUGAUGUAGAGGGAUAGACUCAUGCAAUAUGAUGAAAACCCCAUCUUGUUAUCCUCGAUGGCAACAAUACAAUACGUGCCUUCCUGCCCUUACUGUCACCGGGAAAGGACACCGCAAGAUUGAACCCAAAGCUAAGCACUUCUCCCAUUGCAAGAAAGAUCAAUCUAGUAGGCCAAACCAAACUGAUAAUUCGAAGAGACUUGCAAAGAUAACCAAUCAUACAUAAAAGAAUUCAGAGAAGAUUCAAAUAUUAUUCAUAGAUAGACUUGAUCAUAAACCCACAAUUCAUCGGUCUCAACAAACACACCGCAAAAAGAUGAUUACAUCGAAUAGAUCUCCACAAGAGAGGGGGAGAACAUUGUAUUGAGAUCCAAAAAGAGAGAAGAAGCCAUCUAGCUACUAACUGUGGACCCGUAGGUCUGAGGUAAACUACUCACACUUCAUCGGAGAGGCUAUGGUGUUGAUGUAGAAGCCCUCCGUGAUCGAUGCCCCCUCCGGCGGAGCUCCGAAAUAGGCCCCAAGAUGGGAUCUCAUGGAUACAGAAAUUUACGACGGUGGAAUUAGGGUUUUGGCUCCAUUUCUGACCGUUUGGGGGUACGUGUAUAUAUAUAGGAGGAAGGAGUACGUCAGUGGAGCAACAGGGGGCCCACGAGGGUGGAGGGCGCGCCUGGUGGGGGUGGGUGCGCCCCCUACCUCAUGGCCUCCUCUUUCCUUUCUUGACGUAGGGUCCAAGUCUCCCGGGUCUUGUUUGUUGAGAAAAUCACAUUCCCGAAGGUUUCAUUCCGUUUGGACUCCGUUUGAUAUUCCUUUUUGUCGAAACCCUAAAACAGGCAAACAACAACAAUUCUGGGCUGGGCCUCCGGUUAAUAGGUUAGUCCCAAAAAUAAUAUAAAAGUGGAUAAUAAAGCCCAAUAAUGUCCAAAACAGUAGAUAAUAUAACAUGGAGAAAUCAAAAAUUAUAGAUACGUUGGAGACGUAUCAGAUGCUUAUGUGAAAAAGCUUCAACCUGAUAAGCUCGAACCCAAAUCGGAGAAAUGUGUCUUCAUAGGAUACCCAAAGGAGACUAUUGGGUACACCUUCUAUCACAAAUCCGAAGGCAAGAUAUUCGUUGCUAAGAAUGGAUCCUUUCUAGGAAAGGAGUUUCUCUCGAAAGAAGUGAGUGGGAGGAAAGUAGAACUUGACGAGGUAAUUGUACCUUCUCCCUUAUUGGAAAGUAGUUCAUCACUGAAAUCCGUUCCAGGGAUACCUACACCAGUAAGUGAGGAAGCUAAUGAUAAUGAUCUUGAAACUUCUGAUCAAGUUACUACUGAACCUCGUAGGUCAACUAGAGUAAGAUCCGCACCAGAGUGGUACGGUAAUCCUGUUCUGGAAGUCAUAUUACUUGACCAUGACGAACCUACGAACUAUGAGGAAGCGAUGAUGAGCCCAGAUUCCGCAAAAUGGCUUAAGGCCAUGAAAUCUGAGAUGUGAUCCAUGUAUGAGAACAAAGUGUGGACUUUAGUUGACAUUCCCGAUGAUCGGCAGACCAUAGAGAAUAAAUGGAUCUUCAAGAAGAAGACUGGAAGCUCGACUUGUUGCGAAAGGUUUUCAACAAGUUCAAGGAGUUGACUACAAUGAGACCUUCUCACCCGUAGCGACGCUUAAGUCCGUCCGACUCAUGUUAGCAAUUGCCGCAUUUUAUGAUUAUGAAAUUUGGCAGAUGCAUGUCAAAACUGCAUUCCUUAAUGGAUAUCUUAAAGAAGAGUUGUAUAUGAUACAACCAGAAGGUUUUGUCGAUCCAAAAGGUGCUAACAAAGUGUGCAAGCUCCAGCGAUCCAUUUAUGGACUGGUGCAAACCUCUCGGAGUUGGAAUAUACGCUUCGAUAGUGUGAUCAAAGCAUAUGGUUUUAUACAGACUUUUGGAGAAGCCUAUAUUUACAAGAAAGUGAGUGGGAACUCUGUAGCAUUUCUGAUAUUAUAUGUUGAUGACAUAUUGUUGAUCGGAAAUGAUACUGAAUUUCUGAAUAGCAUAAAAGGAUACUUGAAUAAGAAAUUUUCAAUGAAAGACCUUGGUAAAGCUGCUUAUAUAUUGGGCAUCAAGAUCUAUGGAGGUAGAUCAAGACGCUUAAUUGGACUUUCACAAAGCACAUACCAUGAUAAAGUUUGGAAGAAGUUCAAAAUGGAUCAGGCAAAGAAAUGGUCCUUGCCUGUAUUACAAGGUGUGAAGUUGAGUCGGACUCAAUGCCCGACCACUGCAGAAUAUAGAGAGAAAAUGAAAGGUGUUCCCUAUGCUUCCGCCAUAGGCUCUAUCAUGUAUGUAAUGCUGUGUACCAGACCCGAUGUGUGCCUUGCUAUAAGUUUAGCAGGGAGGUAUCAAAGUAAUCCAGGAGUGGAUCACUGGAGAGCGGUCAAGAACAUCCUGAAAUACCUGAAAGGACUAAGGAUAUGUUUCUCGUAUAUGGAGGUGACAAAGAGCUCGUCGUAAACGGUUACGUUGAUGCAAGCUUUGACGCUGAUCCGGAUGACUCUAAGUCACAAACCAGAUACGUGUUUUUAUUGAAUGGUGUAGCUGCCAGUUGGUGCAGUUCCAAGCAGAGCGUCGUGGCGGUAUCUAUGUGUGAAGCGGAAUACAAAGAUGCUUCGGAAGCAACAAAUGAAGGAGUCUGGAUGAAGGAGUUCAUAUCCGAUCUAGGUGUCAUACCUAGUGCAUCGGGUCUAAUGAAAAUCUUUUGUGACAAUACUGGUGCAAUUGCCUUGGCAAAGGAAUCCAGAUUUCACAAGAGAACCUAGCACAUCAAGAGACGCUUCAAUUCCAUAUGCCAUCAAGUCAAGGAGGGAGACAUAGAGACUGACAAGAUACAUACGGAUCUGCAUAUUGCAGACCCGUUGAAUAAGCCUCUCUCACGAGCAAAACAUGAUCAGCACCAAGACUCCAUGGGUGUUAGAAUCAUUACAAUGUAAUCUAGAUUAUUGACUCUAGUGCAUAUGGGAGGCUGAAGGAAAUAUGCCC